AUGAUAUGAAAUCUCAGAAGGAUUUCUCAAUUGAAGUUUUAUCAAAGGAAGAAGCAUUGCAAUUGUUUGGAAAGAUAGUGUGUAAUUCUGCAAAAGCAUCUGCUUUUCAACCUUUAGCAGAUGAGAUCGUUGAAAAAUGCGGAGGAUUGCCUGUUGCACUGAUUACCCUUGCAAAAGCUUUGAAAAAUGAGAGGCUUGACACUUGGAAGGAUGUGCUGCGUCAGCUAAGAAGUUCCAAUGCAAAAGAAAUUGAUGGAAUGGAAAGAAAUGUGUACAUCUCCAUAAAAUUGAGUUACGACUUACUGGGAAAUAAGGAAGCAAAAUCUCUGUUCCUUCUUUGUGGUCUAUAUACUGAAGGUGAUGUCAUACACGUUUCUGACUUAUUGAGAUAUGGUAUGGGUAUGGGCUAUUUUAAAAACGUUUACACACUGGAAGAAGCAAGGAGUAGAGUGCAUACGUUGAUCGGUAAACUCAAAUCUUCAUGCUUAUUGUUGGACGGUGAUGCCGAAGAUGAAGUUAAAAUGCAUGACAUCAUUCAUGCUGUUGCUGUAUCAAUUGCAGAAGAGGAGCUCAUGUUUAAUAUUCCAAAUGUUGCCUACGUGGAGAAAAAGAUGGAAGAGACAAUACGGGAAGGUCCAAUAGCUAUUUCUUUACCUUAUAGAGAUAUUCAAGAGCUUCCCGAAAGGUUGGAAUGUCCCCGUCUCGAGUUACUUUUGUUGUUUUCAAAGCGUGAUAGCUCUUUGCAAAUUUCAGACCUCUUUUUUCAAGGGACAGAAGAACUCAAAGUUUUAGAUUUUACUGGAAUAUUUUUCUCUUCAUUACCUUCAUCACUUGGUUGCCUCAUUAACGUUCAAACAUUAUGUUUAGAUGGUUGCCGACUGAACGAUGUAACUAUAAUUGGACAGCUAAGGAAAUUAGAGAUUCUCAGCUUCCGAGAUUCUGAUGUUAACGAGUUGCCACUUGUAAUUGGACAAUUGACGAGAUUACAGUUGCUAGAUUUGAGCAAUUGUAGCAGCCUUGUGGUGAUAGCUCCAAAUGUCAUAUCAAAAUUAUCUCGAUUAGAAGAACUAUAUAUUGGUAACAGCUUUUCACAGUGGGAGAACGUUGAAGGAGGAAGUAACGCCAGUCUUGUUGAGUUGAAGGGGUUGUCAAAGCUAACUACUUUGGAGAUACACGUUCGGGAUGCCGAAAUUCUACCGCAGGAUUUGGUCUCUGUGGAAUUGCAAAGCUAUAGGAUAUGUAUAGGAAAUAAGUGGUGGAGCAGCUGGUCCGUUAAAUCUGGAUUAUCAAGAUUGAUGAAGCUCCAGGGGCUAGAAAAGUUUGGCAUUCUUUUGCAGAAUUACAGGAUGAAACUGUUGUUGAAGAGAACUGAAUAUCUCUAUCUAGGAGAACUGAAGGGUGUUCAGAAUGUUGUUCAUGAAUUAGAUGAUGGGGAAGGUUUUCCACGAUUGAACCAUCUUUCUGUAAAAAGUUGUUCUGAGAUUUUGCAUAUUGUCUGUUCAGUUGGACGGGUUCGUCGCAAAGUCUUCCCCUUGCUGGAGUCAUUGUCUCUUCGUCGUUUGAUCAAUUUGGAGACAAUAUGUGACAGCCAACUCACAGAAGAUCAAUCUUUCAGCAACUUAAGGAUUAUAAAAGUAUCAGACUGUCACGAAUUGAAGCAUCUUUUCUCAUUCUACAUGGCCAAAAACCUACUGUGGCUUCAAAAGGUAGAAGUGUUUUUUUGCGAUGAUCUGGAAAUGAUUGUUGGUAAGUGUUGAAAUUAAGUGUUGGUGGAUUUAUGGACUUCGCCUCAAUUAUUUUGAAAAAAAAAAAAGACAACGACAAAGAUUAAUUAUGUAUAUUGUUUUAGUUUGUUUAUAGGACCCGACAUGGACAAACCAACAACUUCUUUGGGAUUCAACGAAAUCAUUGCUGAUGAUGAUCCUGCUCCAAAGGUGAUAAUUUUCUGUUCAAUAAUUAAUUGAUUAAUUUAUUAUCACGAUUAAUCUUCGAUCAUCAAAAGAAUAUUAUACUAGACGGUUGUACUUGAAGGAACAAAAAUGUACGGGUUUUCUUUGCAGGUUAUUCUUCCGAGCUUAGAGGAAUUGAAUCUCAUGUCAUUAAGAAACAUCAAAAAAUUAUGGGCCGAUCAUAAUCAAGGAAUGUACUGUUGUCAAAAUCUAACAAAGCUGCACGUGGUCGGUUGUCAUCGUAUGAAGUAUCUGUUUUCAUAUUCUAUGGUUAAUAGUCUUGCGAAACUCCAACAUCUUGAGAUAAGCUAUUGUGAGUCAAUGGAAGGGGUAGUCGACACCACGGGAUGGUCAGAAAGAGAUGAAGGAAAGUUGAUUGAAUUAAAGGUUUUUCCUAAGCUACACUCCCUGCAGCUAGAAUGGCUUCCAAGACUAAGUAGCUUUGCCAAUAUGGGACAUAUUCAUUCAGAUUUAGUUGUUGAAUUCCCUUCUUUGCUAAACCUCAUGAUUGGUUGUUGCAGUAAUAUGUUAAGAUUCAUCUCUACGAGCUCACCAGAAGACACCAUUCAUUCUGAAAUGCAACCUCCUCCUCUCUUUGAUGAAAAGGUUUUUUUUUUUUUUUUUAAUUAAAAAAAAUAAUUUUAGUCACAAUACUUGAUUUGUCUUUUCCUUGAGUCUUCAAAUUUAGUUAAUAUCCGCCUCUAAUUUAGUUAUCAAUUGAUUAUGCCAUUAAUUGAUUAACUAGUUAUUUAAUCUUUAACUGCCAGGUACGAGUUCCUAGGUUGGAGGUAUUAUAUAUUGCGUGGAUGGAUAACCUAAGAACAAUAUGGCACCACCAGCUUGCUUCGGAGUCUUUCAGGAAAUUGAAGAAUUUGGAGAUAGAAGAGUGUGAUAACCUAAUGAAUAUUUUUCCUCCAUUGGUAAGGUUGCUGUAUUCAUUUCGAUUUUUUUUUUCAAAUAACAUUCAACAAUUUUUUAAUCUUUUCUGUGUUUACAAAUGAUAUUCAGCCACUAAUUAUUUAUUUCAAAUAUUGUACUUCAAACCACCACUCUAAAAUCUACGUUUUAAGUCUAGUUUUUAGGUUCACCAGCAUUAGAAUCAACAAUAUAAUUUUUUUAAACACGAUUCAAUAGCAUAAUAUAAUUCAAUUUAAUUGUUUUUGCUCAUAUCUUAAUAAGUACGAUUUUCAAAAAUUAAAGGAUAGUCACUCAUCUUAUAAGUUCACAAAUUCAUCUAUAUAUUUCUCUUUUCCUUAGUUCUUCACAUUUCGAUUGGGAAAAAAAAAAAGAAAGUCUUCAAAUUUAAUUAAUAUCUCCAGUUUAGUUAAGAAUUGAUUAUGCCAUUACUUAACCACAAAUUCAUGAUUGUUUACAACUGACCCUUGAUUGUAAAGAAAUUUCCUCGAGUCUGGAAGUACUUAAUAAAGAUCCACUUUAUAGCAAUCCCUUGUUGACAGUACUGGGAAGUCUUUUCCAAAUUUUUUUUUUCCAUUUUUAUACAUACAUAAAAAAAAGGGGACCAAGGAAAAGGGAAAAAGAGGCAUUUUAGUUGAGUUUUUUUUAAAGGAAUAGUUGAAAUGUGCAAAUUUAUGCUUAAAAACUUAUAUCAAGAUGCAAAAUAAGUCUAAAGUAUUUAGAAAUUGCCUUAAAUUCUUUCUACGUCCCUAAUACUAAAUAGUGUAAAUACAUUUUUAUCAUCUUUGUUUAUCUGGCUUUUAUUUAUUUAUCUUGUUACCUUUUUUGUUUAACAAAAAAUUAUCUAGUAGACAUUUCACAGUUUGUUAUGUUCAUAAAACGUAUAAUUGUAUGAUUAAACAUACUUUGAGCCUAGUUGAAUGAUACUCUUACAUUUUUACUUUUUUAAUAUACACACACACACACACUCUCUCUGCUUAUUUUCAGGUUGGAAUUCCUACUAGUCUGGUGAAUCUUUAUGUAUGGAACUGCAAAAAAUUAGAAGAAAUCGUAGGACAUGCUGGAGAAGAAGUGAAGGAGAAUCGUAUUGCUUUCAGUGAAUUAAAACUUUUGGAACUUGAUGAUUUACCAAGGCUUACCAGCUUUUGUUUGGAGAAUUACACUCUUGAAUUCCCAUCAUUGGAACGAGUAUUUGUGACACAUUGUCCGAACAUGAAGACUUUUUCUCUGGGAAUCUUAUCCACACCAAAGCUGCACAAAGUGCAAGUGACUGUAAAGGAAGAUGGUGAAUUGCACCAUCGGGACGACAAUCUUAAUUCCACCAUACAAGAACACUAUACAAGAUCUCAUGGAAAUAAGUAAACCCGUAAUUUUUUUCACAGCAUCAUAAGAAAAAAUCAUUUUUUUUUUAGUAUUUUUGUUGGCUGUUGAGUUUUAACAGUAGUAGCUAUUAAACAAGAACAAUCAGUGUAUAUUAAAAAGUUGGAAACUGGUUGAUACCACUUGGGAAUCGAGCAGCUCACUUGUUUGCGAGUAGAAACCAACUUUACUACUAAUUACACUCAUUCCAAAAAUAGUAACUAAAGAAUCAGGAAAUUUCCUAUUCACUAUUCUUCAUUUUUUAAUGCAAAAUUCCCAUGAAAAUGGGAUCAAAAUACAUGUAUGUAUACCUAAAACAAAUUAUUAUUUUUAAUUAAAAAAAAACACAGUUGAGGUGAAAUGAAACCAGAGUCAUGAUAUCUCUGGUUCCAACUUUGGGACAACAGCAGACUUGAGUUCUAUAUGAGAAACACGUACAGCACCAAUCAGCCGCUCCAAGACACACGAAGCGUUAUGCCAUUCCGAGAACAUUCAAGCGUUAUAUCUCAAAAUCAUGUCUUUUCCCUUGUGUCUGUUAAGGAAGCACACUGAGCACGUGUGAACUAAGAGUAGCUGCACGAUAAGCAUGUGUUAGUUAAAGAAGUAUAUGCCAGCUCAGCCAAUUAGUUAAGCAGGCUUUUGAUUCUGUUAUAGUUGUGUACCUUGCUUUAAUUCUGUUUUUAUGAUGUAAGCAACGAGUAUAAACACUGCUACGUUUGUCAUUUGUAUGUUAUGGAAAGAAAAGAAAUCCAGAAUAUUCUAUUUCACUUUCUCAUGAAUUUUCUGAGCUUCCAAACAAAAUUAUCAGUUCAAUUUUAAGCUUUUCAACAGUGUCCAUUUAGACGUGCAAAAAAAACAAUCAUACAUACCUGUACAAGGAAAGCCAUGUCAACCACCGACCGAUGUUGUAAUUACACCAAUUACGACAAGGCCCAAAACUCCACUAGCAAAAGUAGAAUAACAUCUAUGCCAACAUCAAUCUAUAGAGAGAUGAACAUGUUAAUGGUAUCGGACGAGCUAUUUGAACGGGAAACAUCUCAUGUACUAUAAUAGAAAUUUUAAGAGCAUUUACUUCUAAGUACUGGGGACCGCGGAUAUAGUUACAACCAACUGCAUUUAGAAACAAAAAUUUGCGCUUGCGACAAGAGCUGAUCUCUUCAUUCCCCUGUUUAGUAAUAAAAAAAAAUCAAAAUAGCGGAGAAACAGGGCCCUCUUUUCAUUCCCCUGUUUGAUAACAAUAAAAACAAAACAGAGGAGAAACGUGGGCUCUCUUUUCAUUCCCCUGUUUUUCUUUUCGGUUUGGCGAUUUUAAAAUUUUAUAUCCACAUUCAUUAAAAAAAAAAAAAAAAGUUAUUCCAAAAAGAUUUUCUAUUUUCAUAUAGACGUUUAUUUAUUAACCAAAAUUUAAAAAGUGUAAUUCUAAACUUAUCCUUGUGCUUUGAUCUUGGAGGGGUUUUUCAUUUUUUCUACACUGGCCAUAUCAAUUAAUGAUGAAAGUUCUUAUCCUUAAUUGCUUUUGAAAUGAGUGAGCACGGUAUGACCCUUAAGAGAAUUAAUUAAUUGGACAAGUUAUAUAACGCCUUUGAUAUGGCUCCUAGACAUGUAUGCAAUUUGUAUCUUUCCUCAAGUAUGCAUGAGAAUACUUGAGGAAAGCUUCACAAUAGUUACGGCCGGAUCUGCACUUCACAAGUCCUAAUAGGGAAGUAUAAAUAUAUGCUUCUGGAACAGUGCAACUCUCCAUAAUAAGUACCUAAGAAUAGACAAAUUUUCAUUACAAUAGAAUGAUAAAUUAUAAUAAUAUUGACACAAUGAUGCCAAUAAUAAGAAUCUUAACAAAUCUACUAAUUUUAGAAUAUGGCUUAGAGUGCUACAAUGAACCACAACAAGUUAUCGAUAUUAUAAUAUCUAUAAUUAAUAUUCCAAUAAUAACUGGGGCUCCUUUGUUUUCAUUCCCCUACUUUUCUGUUAAGUGAUUGCCAAAUUUUUAUAUCUAAAAUUCUUCUAAUUUUAAACUAAGGUUUAUUUAGAAAAAAAAAGGGAGAGAGAGAGAGAGACUCGAAGAGCAUUAAAAAAUGUAAUUUUUAAUUUUCACUUAAGCAUUGUGUGACUUUUAUCAUUUUUUAAAGUUGGCCAUUUGUACUGAAUAAAUAAAAUAAUGGAUAGACUUAUGGACCACUUUUUUUCUGUUAUAUUAAAACAUGAGAUGUCUUUUCUUGAUGUUUUCAUCACACAAGAAUCUGUUUAUGUCAUCAUGCAUCAUGGGUUUAAAUGGGGUAAAUAAAUUAAGAUCGAGGGCAAGUUUGUUUAAGUUCUAAAGUUGCUGAAUAUAAAAAGGGCUGAUAUGAAAAUUACCUAAAGUUUCAAAUAUUGUUAUUCAGCAACCACUUUUAGGUUGCAUUAGUUUCUACACAAAUUUUAUAUAAAUAAUUUAUAACUCCCAUUAUUAUUUAAAAAACUGUAGCAAUUGUUGAAAAAAAAUUCUAAUUAAAGAAAUUGACAUUAUAAUUUAAGGGAUAGUUGCUGUUUUAAUCAUUAGAACUUAAGUCAAUUAUCCAGCUUAUCCUUGUAUUCUUAAAAACUAUAUAAAAUACCAUUAUCUCUUCUUUUGUAGCUAUUGAAUUCGACUUUCACAACAUAAAUAUUUAUUAGCAACAACUUAAAAUUCAAACAAAUAUAAUAUGUAAUGUAUGAAAUACAAAUAAUAGUUAAACAAAUUUUGAUUAUUUACUAUUAAAAUACAUUCACAUUAAUAUCUUAAGGAUAGGUGGUACUCAAAUAAUUUUUUAAAAAUCAGACCCAAAUUAUAUGCAUUGUUAAUAUGUAUUAUUGUCUAAUAUUUGGAUUUUGUUAAGUUACAACUGUUGUAACUUACGAUCUCUUCAAAAAAGAAAAUUGAGUCCCACCACCUAUUAAAUUUUUUACAUUAUUUUUUAAAAGACUGUAAGUUACAUCAGUUGUAACUUAACAGCACCCUUAAUAUUUUACUUUACUUUUAUAUCUUUACAAAACAAUACCAACAAGACAAUAAUGUAUGAAAUAAAUAAAAUAAAUAAAUAAAGAACUGAUAGCGAAAUUAAGUCUAUCAUUAGUUUCUUGUGGUGUGAACUCUUGACAAUUCUCCCACCUAAAACUCUCUAGUGGUGUGAACUUUUGACGAUUCUCCAAAAAUUUGUCAUAUUGCAAAAAGCAAUGUCAAUUGUAAUGUCAUUUCCAUUAGUCAUAGUGGCAGAUAGGACUAGAAAUUGUUGAAACCCAUUGACUUAUUUUUCUUUCUAAAAAUAAGAAAAGCACACCCGUCCGGGGAAAUAAUUUUGUAGUACCUCAUGUCGUGAAUAAGGGACAAUACGAUCCUUUUUUUAUUAUAGUAUUUUUAAAUUUAUUAACUAAAAAAUUAAUUCUAAUAUUUUAUAAUAAAUAUAAGUAGGAUAUUAAAAUGAAUAUAAUAAUGUAUACAUAUUAAAAUAAUUUCAAUAUCUAAAAAUAUUUUAAUAUUUUAAAAUCUCGUAGUCUAUUAAACCAAAUAAUAAUAAAUAGAGACAUAAUAUUCAAAUAAAUACAUAAAAAUUUAAAUUGUUUUCAAUAUCACAUAAAAUAAUUUUAAUAUUAUUAAUACAUGAGAAAUAUUAUAUUAAUUGUAAAAUCUAUUUAACCUAAGGAUUCAUUUAAAAUUUUUUGUAAUAAUUACAAGUAUUUUAUAGAUACAAAUAUAUUAAUUCACAUUUUAAAAAUUAAUAUUGAAAUUAAUUAUUUAAAUUUUAUAAAAAAUUUUGAAGUCUUUUUUUUUUUUUUGGCUACCAUCUACUAAGAGUAGUAUUAUGAUCAAAAGGGGUAUUGGUAUCCUAUAUUAAAAAUUUGAGGUCUACGUGACUAUUUUUCUAAAUUUUUAGGGUAUCAUUUUGUUUUUGACAAAAGUAAAAUUUCAUUUUUGACAAAAAUAAAAUUUCAUUUAAAUGGCUAAAAUGGUGAAUAAAAUAAUACUACAGUGGGCGUAAAUGGAAGGUAAGAAACAAUGAAAAUGAAUAGUCUAAUGUCACCACAGGCACAUAAGGCCAAAGUUUGUUACAUCUGAUCAAGGACAAUUUAGUAUGUGGAGUGGGUCCUGCGUGUCAUUUUUUGGGCAUCUACCUUCUUCAGCAUUGAAGAUUUGAUGUUGACGACAUUUUAAAAAUUUGGAAGACCCAUCAUACAUUUGGAUGGUUGUCAUUAUUUGAUAUUAUCAUUAUCUCGUGGUGAUCCUAUUAUUUAUGUGGCAAAAGAGGUAAUUAAAUAAAAUUUAAUUGGAUGUAACACUUGUUUCGCGUUGUGAACUUUUGACAAUUCCCCUAUAUCCCUCCAAAAACUUUCGUCAUUUUGCCAAGAUACCUAACGAUUGUAAUGUAAUUUUCAUUAUUCAUAGUGCCAGAUAAUGGAGGUCCAGGAACGGACCAGAAAUUAUUGCUACCCGUGGACUUUUCCAAUUUAUUUUUUUUCUUUUGGAUGGUUGACGUUAUUUGAUAGGAGGACGAGAUAGAGAUAGAGUUCUUAAUCGAACACCCGUUUUAUUUAAUGGGGAAAUUAUCAUUUCACCACUACUCUUUUGCCUUAUGCUCAUUCAAUUACUACAAAAUUUUAACAUGUUCUCUGCACUACUUUUCUUUUUUAAAUUUGUAUCAAUUACUCACUUUUAUACUAACACCAUUAAAUAAUUUAAACAAAAUAAUAAAUUUACCCCUAAAUAAAUUAAAAGACCAUUUUAUUUUAUAAAAACUUAAAAAAUAAAAAAUAAAAAUUAUAAUUAUAAUUAUAAAAAUACCCCUAAAUUUAAUAAAGAAAUAAAUCCCCAAAUUAGAAUUUUUAUUUUAAUAAAAAUUAUAAUUAUAAAAUAAUUGCAAAAUUUUGGGAUUUAAUAAACAUCCCCUAAAAUAUUAAAUUUUGGGAUUUAUUUUUAAUAAAUAAAUUUAGUUAUUUUAAUAAAAUUUUACAAAAUUAUAAAUUUGUAAUAAAAAUAAGCUGAGCGCCUCUAUUUUGGAUUAUUUUUUAUUAAAUUUAGGGGUAUUUUUGUAAUUCUAAUAUUUUUUUUCAAAGCUUUUAUAAGAUAAAAUGGCAUUUUAAUUUAUUUAGGAGUAAAAUUAUCAUUUCGUUUAAAUUAUUUAACAGUAUUAGUGUAAAAGUGGCUAAUCGAUUCAAAUUUAAAAAGAAAGAUAGUGCAGAAAACAUGUUGAAAUUUUGUGGUGGUUAAAUGAACAUAAGUCAAAAGAAAGAUGGUAGAAUGAUAAUUUCCCUAUUUAAUAUGGAAGAAGAUCUUUAAACUCUCAGUGAGGCUAUGGCUUCAACAGAUGCAGCCUUGUGGAAAGAGGCAACAAGUAAUGAGAUAGACUCAUUAUUAUCUAAUCAACUAGAUGCAUCAACAAGAUCUUAACUUAGAUUGGAACUUGAAGCAUUGUUGUUUGAAACAUUGGCUCAAGCCUUUAGAGCGAGGUUGGAUGCAAAAUGAUUUACAACAAAGAAAGGAAAAAAUAAAUUUACUAAUUUACAAAAUAAAUUUAGUAAAUUAAUAAAGUCAUUAUAUGAUCUUAAAUAAGCACUAAAGCAACAGCAUGAAAAUUUUGAUUCUAUGAUCAUGUUGCAUGGAUUUUAACAUAAUAACGAUGAUAAAUGCAUUUAUUCUAAAUUAAUGGAUAAAUAUGGUAUGAUAAUUUUCCUCAUUUGAGAAAGAAUUCUUAAAUAAUGUCCCAUAUUAAUUAGUAAAAGAGAGUCACUUGGGCUUAUAAGUAGUAGAGAUGGGCAAAAUUGGAUGCAGAUGAUAUUCGGGUUAAUAUGAUCAGAUUUUGGAUUGUUCGGAUUGAUAAAAAGUCAUAUGAAUGCAAUAUGAACUUGCAUCCAAUCCGAUUAUGUACGGAUCAUAUUCAAAUUGGAUGAAUAGUGCAGAUUAAUUUGGAUUCGGAUCAGAUCGAUAAUAUCAAACUGAAAUCGGAAUCAGAUGUGUUCGAAUAAAUCAGAUGAAUUUCAAUCACUUGCAAGUUGAAAUACAAAAUUGAAAAAUCAUAGAAAUUAAGAAAAAAAUGCAGCAAGCUAGCAAAUGGAAGAACAAAGGCAAAAAAUUAUAUUAUAAAUUAAUCGUAAAAAGGUGCUAUUAGCAAUUGUUGCACAAUGCGAAAAUGUCCUGGAACUCGCUGUGUAGACAUGCAAAAGUUCCGUAAGUGCAUUAACAAUUAUUUUCCAAAAAAAGGUUGUUGCGUCAAUAUUAAAGGAAUUGACAUCCAGGGACCCAGUUUAGUUGCUUAAUGAUUAAUUAAUUAAUCAAUUUAUAAUAUAUUAAUCUUUUAAGUUGAAUACUUAAAAUCUUAGACCCCAAACAAUAAAUCAUCUGAGUAAUAUAAAAGAGAAAUUAUCAUCCUAUUUUUUAUUUGACUUCUUGUAGCUUAUAAAAGAGAAAUUAUCAGUCAUUUACUCAAAGUUUAUUCAGUUAUUAAAAUUAAUAUAAAAUUUAAAUUUAUUUAAUUUUACACUCAAUGUAUGCAAUUUGUAUUAAACAUCCGUUAAAAACAUAAAGUUAUUCCAUCAAAGUGACAAAAUAGAAGCGAACACAAAAUUGUAUUGGUGAUUAUGUUUUAAGAGUAAUUUUAUCUUUUUAGUAAACAGUUAUCCACAUUGUAACAAUGGGUAUAAAAUUAAGUAUAUUUAAAUUUUUAUAACUUUUAGGAUAAUAAGAUAAUUUUUAGGUGGAUGACUGAAAAUUUUUCUUUUCAAAAUAUUUUGAAAACAAUACCAAAUGUACCAAAACAUUGUUUACUUACACUCUAUAUAUAUAUAUAUAUAUAUAUAUAUAUAUAUAUAUAUUUAAUUUCUUAACUCAUUCUUAUCCUUAUUCUUGCUAACAUAUCCACAAUCUGUCAAUGAAAUUUACUUUUAUAAAUUUGAAGAUUCUUUCAUGCAAUUUUGUACGAUAAUGAGUUCUCAUGUCUCUGUUAAAAAAGAAUUCGUAAAUAAUACAAAUGAAAAAAAAACAAAAAGUAGCAGGGCUGGCAAUACAAACCAUAACUUUUUUUCUUUGAAAUAUGCAUAAAUAAAGUUAAUAGUGAUGUGUCAGCACGAUCUUGAGAGCACGGCUUGGAGUCUCAAUAAUUAUUGACACUCAUAUUUGAAAACUUUUGAAAAGAUAAAAUCCAAUAUGAAAGGUGAAAUGUUAUAAUCAUAGUAACUAGAAAAUUGAUUGAUUUACAAAUAUCAAUUUAAACAAUUUUCAUGUUGAUCGACAAUUUAAGUAGAUUGACAAAGAUUGAAGUAAUUACUGUUGGUGAUUGAUUGACUUUGUCCUUAUCCUUGCCUUCUUCUUAUCAAAAAUCGAGUGUCAAUUAAAUUGGGCCAGGGCUUCUGAUUGCAACUAAUAGACUUCAUAUACGCAUAAUGCUCCCUACGGACAUACGUACCAGUAUUUGAUUGAAAAAGGGAUGCGUGCUUAAUGCUCAAGUCGUCUUCUUCUGGAAAUUCAUUGUUAUUACUCUCAUCAACUCGUUACUCACAUUCCUCUUUAGUCAACAGAGAUCUUUUGCUCAAUAAAAUUUUUCUUCUAUAUUCAAGGUGAAUACAGCAGCUCAUCAACUCUGAUCCCAGACAGGUAAAGAGGCGCACUUGUUCUAAAACCUUUAAUAUUCUUUUAGUAACAGAAUCUCUGAUACUUGUUCUUCAUAGCGGUUCUUUCUUAAUUUCCAUCACCUUUCCUAGGAAAAAAUUCUUUGGUUUUUCUUAAUCAUAUCAUUUAUUUUUCUGAAGUCAUAUAAUUUAGUUUUAGUAGCAGAAUACUUGAUAUUGAUAGCGGUUCUUUCUUAAUUUCCAUCAACUUUCCUUGAAGGAUACCUUUCUGUUAAUAGCAAAACAUCUGAUCCUUAAGAUAGAAAAAGAAAUUCUCUAUUUAGGUAUCAGUUGGUUCAAGAUCAAUAUCGCGAUGUUGUUUGCGGUCUUUUCUUUCUCCGUCUUUCCCUUUAGUUCAGUUUAAUUUAUUUGUUUUCCUUUCUUUGAUAUAUUAUUAGAUUUGUUAAGUAGCAGACAAUGGCAGAAGUUGGUCUGGCUGCUUUUUCCAGCAUUGUAUCAGAAGGUGCAAAGUCACUGUUCAAACCGAUUAUACGGCAGAUAUCUUAUGUGUUCAAGUACCAGAGCUACAUAGAUGAGCUAAAAGAUAAAGUGAAGCGGCUGGAACAUAAAAGAGAAAGGGUGGAAAUACCCGUUCAUCAGGCAACUCAACAAGGAGAUGAGAUUUAUAAGGAUGUUGCAGACUGGCUUAAUAGCGUCAAGGAAUUCACUCAGGGAGCUGCAAAAUCCAUCACUGAUGAUGAAGAUAGAGCUAAGAAGUUCUGUUUCAAAGGAUUGUGCCCAAACUUGAUCUCUCGUUACAAGCUCAGUAAACAAGCAGCAAAGGCUGCAGAAGCUGCCGCUAGUCUCGUGGGAAAAGGCAACUUCUCCAAUGUUUCCCACCGUCCUACUCCAAAGCUGGUAGAACAUAUGCAAGUGAAAGAUUUCGAGGCCUUUGACUCAAGAAUGAAAGUAUUUCAAGAUGUUUUGGAGGCGUUGAAGGAUGAUAAGCUCAAGAUAAUUGGGGUCUACGGGAUGGGCGGCGUGGGUAAAACCACGCUUGUCAAGCAAGUUGCGAAGCAAGUGAUGGAAGAUAAGUUGUUCGAUAAGGUCGCUAUGGCUGAGGUAACAGAGAACCCAGAUCAUCAGAAAAUUCAAGACAAACUAGCUUCUGAUUUAGGCAUAAAGUUUGAGUUGAAUGAGAGUAUAUUCGACAGAGCAAAUCGACUAUGUGGAGUAUUGAAGAACAAGGAGCGGCAUCUCAUUAUAUUGGAUAAUAUUUGGAGAGAACUGGAGUUCGAUAAAGUUGGAAUUCCUUCCAGGGAUGUCGAGAAAGAAAGAAUGGAUGAUCAGAGACGAUGCACAAUAAUACUGACGUCUAGACGUCAAGAUUUAUUGCGCAAUAUUAUGAAUUCUCAGAAAGAAAUCCAGAUCGAUGCUUUAUCAAAAGAAGAAGCAUUGCAUUUAUUUAAGAAGAUAGUGGGUGAUUCAAUGAAAACAUUUGCUUUUCAAUCUAUAGCAGAUGAGAUCGUUGAAAGAUGCGGAGGACUGCCUGUUGCACUGAUUACACUUGCAAAAGCUUUGAAAAAUGAGAGGCUUGACACUUGGAAAGAUGUGUUGAAUCAGCUAAGAAGUUCCAAUGCAAAAGAAAUUGAUGGAAUGGAAAUAAAUGUGUACAUCUCCAUAAAAUUGAGUUACGACUUAUUGGGAAGUAAGGAAGCAAAAUCUCUGUUCCUUCUUUGUGGUCUAUUUAGUGAAGGUCAUGCUAUACCAGUUUCUUCCUUAUUGAGAUAUGGUAUGGGUAUGGGCUAUUUUAAAAACGUUUACACACCGGAAGAAGCAAGAAGUAGAGUGCAUACGUUGAUCGGCAAACUCAAAUCUUCAUGCUUAUUGUUGGACGGUGAUACUGAAGCUAAAGUUAAAAUGCAUGACGUCAUUCAUGCUGUUGCUGUAUCAAUUGCAGAAGAGGAGCUCAUGUUUAAUAUUCCAAAUGUUGCCGACUUGGAGAAAAAGAUGGAAGAGACAGUACAGGAAGGUCCAAUUGCUAUUUCUUUACCUUAUAGAGGUAUUCAAGUGCUUCCUGAAAGGUUGCAAUGUCCCUGUCUUGAGCUAUUGCAUACGGAGGGUGAUGGCUCUAUGCAAGUUUCAGACCACCUUUUUAAAGGGACGGAAGGACUCAAAGUUUUGAAUUUUAAUCGAAUUCACUUCUCUUCAUUACCUUCAUCACUUGGUUGCCUCAUUAACCUUCAAACAUUGUGCUUAGACUAUUGCCGACUAAAAGAUAUAGCAAUAGUUGGACAGCUAAAGAAAUUAGAGAUUCUCAGCCUUGUAUAUUCCGAUAUCAAGCAGUUACCACUUGAAAUUGGACGAUUGACGCGGUUACAGUUGCUAGAUUUGAGCAAUUGUUGGAGCCUUGAGUUGAUACCACCAAAUGUCAUAUCAAAAUUAUCUCGAUUAGAAGAAUUGUUUAUGCAUAACAGCUUUUCACAGUGGGAUAAGGUAGAAGGAGGAAGUAAUGCCAGUCUUGUCGAGUUGAAGGGGUUGUCAAAGCUAACUACUUUGGAGAUACAUGUUUCGGAUUCCGAAAUUCUGCCGCUGGAUUUUGUCUCUGUGGAAUUGGAAAGAUAUAAGAUAUUUAUAGGACAAAUGUCUGUCCGGUGGCUCGUCGAAUCUAAAACAUCAACAUUGAUGGUGCUCAAGGGGCCAGAACAAGUUAGCCUUCUUUUGGGGAAUGAUGGGACGAAAAUGUUGCUGAAGAGAACUGAAGAUCUCCGUCUAUGCUCACAGAAGGGUGUUCAGAAUAUUGUUCAUGAAUUAGACGAUGGGGAAGGUUUUCCACGAUUGAAGCAUCUUCAUGUAAAAAGUUGUUCUGAGAUUUUACAUAUUGUCGGUUCAGUUGGACGGGUUCGUUGCGAAGUCUUUCCCUUGCUGGAGUCAUUGGAUCUUAUUAAUUUAACUAAUUUGGAGACGAUAUGCUACAGCCAACUCAGAGAAGAUCAAUCUUUCAGCAACUUAAGGAAAAUAAACGUAGAUUUCUGUCCAAAAUUGAAGUAUCUCUUCUCAUUCUCUAUGGCCAAAAACCUAUUGCGGCUUCAAAAAGUAAAAGUGGAAAACUGCGAUGAUUUGAAAAUGAUUAUUGGUAAGUGUUGAAAUUAAUUAUUGGUAGGAUUAUUGACAUUGACUCAUUCUUUUUUUCUUUUCUUUUUUUUUUUUUGGUGAAAAAAACAACGGAUGUUUAUUAUAUAUUGUUUUUGUUCAUUUAUAGGGCCCGACAUGGAGAAACCAACAACAACUCAGGGAUUCACAGAAAUCAUUGCAGAGGAUGAUCCUGUUCACCAAGUAAUAAUUUUCUGUUUAAUAAUUAAUUAAUUAAUAUAUUAUCACGAUUGAUCUUCAAUCAUCGAAAGAAUAUUAUAUUAGAAGUUGUAGUUGAAGGAACAAAAAUGUAUGGUUUUUCUUUGCAGGUUACUUUUCCACGCUUGGAGGAACUGAAACUUGUCAGUUUAACAAACAUCAAAAAAUUAUGGCCCGAUCAAUUUCAUGGAAUGUAUUGUUGUCAAAAUUUAACAGAAGUGACCGUGUUCGGUUGUGAUCGUCUGAAGUAUCUGUUUUCAUAUUCUAUGGUUAAUAGUCUUGGGCAACUCCAACAUCUUGAGAUACGAAAUUGCUGGUCAAUUGAAGGGGUAGUCAACACCACGGGGUUAGGAGGAAGAGAUGAAUUGAAGGUUUUUCCCAAACUACACUACCUGUCGCUCCAUUGGCUUCCAAAACUAAGUAGCUUUGCCUCACCAGAAGACGUCAUUCACACUGAAAUGCAACCUCAAUCCCUCUUUGAUGAAAAGGUUUUUUUUCAUUGAAUUUUUAAAUUCUCUUUUCGUUGAGUCUUCAAAUUUAAUUAAUAUCCAUCUCUAACUGCAUUGAAUUUUCAACUUCAGGUACGACUCCCAAGUCUGGAGGUAUUACAUAUUAAGAGGCUGGAUAAGUUGAGAAAAAUAUGGCACCACCAGCUUGCUUCGAAGUCAUUUAACAAAUUGAAAAAAUUUGAGAUAUCAGGGUGUCAUAAUCUACUGAAUAUUUUUCCUCCAUUGGUAAGAUUGCUAUAUUCAUUUUGAAUUUUUAUUUCAAAUAACAUUCAACAAUUAUUUUAAUCAUUUUUGUGUUUACAAAUAAUUUUCAUUCACAAAUUAUUUAUUGCAAGUAUUGUACUUCAAACUUCUGGAGGGAAAAAAAGUAGUGUACUUCAAAUCACCAUUCUGAACUCUGCAUUUUCAAUCUAAUUUAUAGGUUCACCUGCAUUAAAGUCAACAAUAUAAUUGUUUUAAACACGAUUCAACAGCAUAAUAUGAUUCAAUUUAAUUGUUUUUUUUCUUAAAUCCUAAUAAAUAAGAUUUCCAGAAAUUAAAAGAUACUUAGUUACUCAGCUUUUAAGUUCACAAAUUCAUAUAUAUUUCUCUUUUCCUUGGGUCUUUAGAUUUCGAUUUUAAAAAUAAAAUAAAGAAAAGUGUUCAAAUGUAGUUAAUAUCUCUAGUUUAGUUAUGAAUUGAUUACGCCAUUGAUUAAGCACAAAUUCAUGAUGGUCAUUUUGAAUCGACCGUUGAUUAAAAAAUUUCCUCAAAUAUUCACUCUAUAACAGUCCCAUGUUGAUGGCGUUGGGAAGUGUUUUCCAGAAAUGUUUUCCAUUUUUAAAAGCAUGAAUAUCGGGAAAAAAAAAAAUGGGAAAUACAGCGUUUUAGUUUAGUUAUUUUAAAAAUAGGCAUGUUUGAAAAUUAAAAAUUUUUAAAAACUAGCAUCAAGAUGAAAAAUGAAUUUAGAAUAUUUAAAAAUUACCUGAAAUUCUUUCUCUGUUCCUAAUACUAAAUAGUGUAAAUGCAUUUUCAUUAUCUUUGUUUUUCUGGUCUUCUAUUUAUUUAUUUUUGUUUUAAUUUUUUCCUUUUUUUCUUUAACAAAAAAUAUCUAGUAGACAUUCAUGGUUUGUUAUUUUUCAUAAAACAAUUGUAUGAUUUUGACAUACUUUGAAUCUAGUUGAAUGCUACUCUUUAUUUUCAGGUUGGAAUUCCCAAUAGUCUAGUGAAUCUUAAUGUAUCAUACUGUGAAAAAAUAGAAGAAAUCAUAGGACAUGUUGGAGAAGAAGCGAAGGAGAAUCGUAUUGCUUUCAACGAAUUAAAACAUUUGGAACUUGAUCAUUUACUAAGGCUUACCAGCUUUUGUUUGGAGAAUUACACUCUUGAAUUCCCAUCAUUGGAACGAGUAUCUGUGACACAUUGUCCGAACAUGAAGACUUUUUCUCAGGGAAUCGUAUCCACACCAAAGUUGCACGAAGUGCAGGUGAGUAAAAAGGAAGUAUUAAGUUUUAUAUGAAACUGUGAUGUUGUUUGGUUACUAAGAAAAUAGGAAGAAAGAAAACUUCUGUAAGCUGAGAAUUCUGUUAUUAUUGACCUAAUGAAUCUGGAAAUUACAAGCCUUUUUAUAUGUGCAUAGAAGAUUCUACACACAUUGCACACACGCACAGUUUAAUACUAACAACCUCUAUAACAACCUUUAGCUGACUCAGCUGCCAUGUCAGCAUACUCAUUAACUAACUAAUUCUAUUCUUAACAGGAAGAGGGUGAAUUGCGCCGUUGGGAAGGCAACCUUAAUUCCACUAUACAAAAGUGUUACGAAGAAAUGGUAUGUGUUAAAUCGAUUCGUCGAAAUUACUUAUGCAUCUCCCUUGCACUUGCACAUUUAAGUAUAUACACCUGCCUUGUAUAUAUAGUUUUAGAAGUUAAAACACAAAACAUGUAAGUUUAAUGUAUAUAUAUCUAAUGCCUUUCAAAAAGAAAAAAAAUUGUAUAUAUCCAGUGCAAUUGUUUUGGUUUGUGCAGAUUGGAUUUCGUGACAUAAUGCGUUUGCAACUUUCGCAUUUUCCACGUUUGCAAGAAAUAUGGCAUGGCCAAGCACUGCCUGUCAGCUUCUUCAACAAUUUAAGAGAGCUGGUGGUGGAUGACUGCACGAAUAUGUCGAGUGCUAUUCCUGCCAAUCUGCUACGGUGCUUGAACAAUUUGGAAUACCUGGCAGUGAGGAAUUGUGAUUCACUAGAAGAGGUGCUUCAUUUGGAAGAACUAAUUAAUGCUGAGGAAGAACAUUUUGGCCAACUGUUCCCUAAUCUUUACGAGCUAAAGCUCAUUGAUCUUCCAAAACUCAAAAGAUUCUGCAACUUCACUGGGAAUAUAAUUGAACUGCCUAAGUUGGACAAUCUAACUAUUGAGAAUUGCCCUAGUAUGGAAACACUGCCUGUCAGCUUCUUCAACAAUUUAAGAGACCUGGUGGUGGAUGACUGCACGAAUAUGUCGAGUGCUAUUCCUGCCAAUCUGCUACGGUGCUUGAACAAUUUGGCAUGGCUGAAAGUGAGGAAUUGUGAUUCACUAGAAGAGGUGCUUCAUUUGGAAGAGCUAAGUGCUAAGGAAGAACAUAUAGGCCCCAUGUUUCCUGAGCUUUCCCUGCUAGGGCUCAUUGAUCUUCCAAAACUCAAAAGAUUCUGCAACUUCACUGGGAAUAUAAUUGAAAUGCCUAAGUUGGAAUAUCUCAUUAUUGAGAAUUGCCCUGAUAUGGAAACAUUCAUAUCCAACUCUGUAGUGCACGUGACAACAGAUAACAAGGAACCUCAAAAAUUAACAUCAGAAGAGAACUUCUUGCUGGCUCAUCAAGUACAACCUCUCUUUGAUGAAAAGGUGAUUAUUAUUAUUAUUAUUAUUUUUCCCUUCACUUUCGUUUCAUAGAUGUAAUUUCAUUAGAAUCAAAUCAAAUUUAAUGACUCAUCUUUUUGCACGUCGUCUUAAUUUUUAUAUGAUUUAACAAUAUAACUGCAGUUAUUAACUAUCUUUAUAGUAUGAAUUAUAAAAAUGUCUGAAAUUAAUUGGAUGCCUGAUAACACGAGGUGAUCUAUUAAUUAUGUGUAUUACAUCUCUGUUUUCCUAGCUAAUUCAUAUUGGAUUUAGCAUCAGAUUUCAUUUAUGUGUUUCAAAGGGUAAUCGAUUUGAUACUUAUAUUUGGGAUCCUACUGCAAAGCAUACUAAUUUGGAAAUAAAAUAUAAAAUGCCGUGAUUAAUCUUGUCCAUAAAAUAUGCAGGGGAAGACUGCAGAGAUUGGAUACAUAUUUUCAUUUACAACUUAAUUUUGUUGAUUUUUAGGUUGCAUUCCCUCAAUUGAGUUGGUUAACGCUAUCUGGAUUACACAAAGUGCAGCAUCUCUGGAAGGAAAAUGACGAAUCCAACAAAGCGUUUGCAAACUUGGCAAGUCUAGAAAUAUCGGAAUGUAUUCAGUUGCAAAAAUUAGUACCACCUUCGUGGCAUUUGGAAAAUAUGUGGGGACUGGAAGUAUCGAAGUGUCACGGGUUGAUAAAUGUGUUGACGCUCUCAGCAUCUAAAAAUCUAGUGAACCUUGAAAGAAUGAAGAUAGCUGAUUGCAAAAGGAUAGAAGAAAUCAUACAGUCGCCGGUUGCAGAAGAAGCGAAAGAUUGCACUGUUUUCAAGAAAUUGAAGUACUUGACACUUGAUUGUUUGCCAAGCCUAACAAGCUUUUGUUUAGGUAAUUACGCUCUUGAAUUCCCGUCCUUGAAACAAGUAGUUGUGAGACAGUGUCCAAAAAUGAAGAUCUUCUCUCAAGGAGUCUUAGACACACCAAUGCUAAACAAAGUGAACGUCACCGAAGAAGAAAAAGAUGAUGAUGAUGAAGGAUGUUGGGAAGGCAACCUCAAUGACACCAUAAAAAAAUUGUUCAAUGAAAUGGUGAGUAUCAAUUAAGUUUUGAUGCUAUUUAGCAAAUUAUUUUAUAGAAACUAAUGUGAUAUAAUAUGAUUGGUUGACUGAAAAUAUAUAAUAAUAAUAAUAAUAAUAAAUAAAUAAAUAAAUAAAUUAUGAGGACCAUGUAAUGUUUUUGUUUAAUCAAUCAUAUUAUGUCGCAUUAGUUUAUACAAUAUUAUUUGUGCACAAGAGGUGGUGGUCAUAUCAUUACUCUAGCUUUAUUAUUCUUAUGGUGGCAAUGUAUGCUUGCUUACACGAGUAAUUACAAAAUCUGCAGAAUUCUAAAGAAGAGAUUGAGCCAACCCUUCAGGUACAGUGAAGAAGCUAUCCCGAACCAGGCCAAUCUCUUAUACAUGAUUCAGCUUGCUCGUUCUUCUGUACUUGAAUAAUUUGGUUCUAUAUAUUUACAAUUUUUCGCUCAUGCUACAGACUUGCAAGACACUUUGGAUUUUGUUUGAUGCAUUCUCCGUUUAAGAAAGGACUUGAAUUGAUGUUUCAUGUUUCAUGCAAUAUUCAAUUAGAUUCUGCCUAAAUUUCUGUAUUAUUCGUUCAAUUGGUCUUUUAAGCAUUUGAUUUCUAACCUCUCCUAAUGGAAGAUCAUUAUCUGAAGAAAACAGCAUAACAUUUGUGGCAUUAUCAGAAUAAGAAUAUUUUUGAGUAUAGUAAAAUUAUCUCCACCACUGUUAAAAAGAAUUAAUCAGUCAAACUGACCUCACACCAGCACGCUUUAAAUUAAAAGAAUUUCGUGAAGUCGAGACCAUGUUAUAGAUCUCAUGGAAAGAAGUAAACCCGUAAUUUUUUUCACAGCAUCAUAAGAAAAAUCAUUUUUUUUAAGUAUUUUUGCUAGCUGUUGAGUUUUAAUAGUAGUAGCUAUUAAACAAUAACAAUUAGUGUAUAUUAAAAAGUUGGAAACUGGUUGAUACCACUCGGGAAUCGAGCAGUUCACUUGUUUGCGAGUAGAAACCUACUUUACUACUAAUUACACUCAUACCAAAAAUAGUAACUAAAGAAUCAGGAAAUUUCCUAUUCACUAUUCUUCAUUUUUUAAUGCAAAAUUCCCAUUCGAAAACACCAAUGACUUUCAUUCAAAGUAAAUGAGAAAUUACAAUGAAAAUAGAAUCAAAAUACAUGUAUGUAUACCUAAAACAAAUGAUUUUUUUAAUUAAAAAAAAAACACAGUUGAGGUGAAAUGAAACCAGAGUCAUGAUAUCUCUGGUUCCAGCUUUGGGACAACAGCAGACUUGAGUUCUCUAUGAGAAACACGUACAACACCAAUCAGCCGCUCCGGUAAUUCAUCUGUAGUAUUUGCCUGCAUACAGAAGAGCAAGAUAAAGAAGACACACACAGAAGCAUUAUAUCAUUCUGAGAACAUUCAAGUAUGCAAAAAUGCAAGUUGCAGUGCAAUAUCUCAAAAUCAUGUCUUUUCCCUUGUGUCCAUUUAGCAGUGGGGGAAAAAAACAAUCAUACAUACCUGUACAAGGAAAGCCAUGUCAACCACCAAUGUCGUAAUUACACCAAUUACAAGGCCCAAAACUCCAUUAGCAACAGUAGAAGAAUCGAUGUCAACAUCAAUCUACAGAAAGAUGAACAAUGUUAAACCAUGUUAAAGGUAUUGGACGCUAUUUGAAAGGGGAACAUCUCAUGUACUAUAGAAAUUCCAAGAGCAUUUACUUCUAAGUACUUGGGACCGCGAAUAUAGUUACAAUCAACUGCCUUCCCCAAUAAACAAGGGGUGCUUCCAACACUCUGGCGCACUAUCCAUGACCCCUGCAUGAUUCAGUGCUGAAAAUCAAGAACAAGUGCAAAACAAAUUCAAGAGGGUAAAAAGGAGAUAAAGUUUGAAGGUACAACCCAUCAAUACAUUCACACCUAAAUGCAUGCCUUCUUUGUACAAAUUGAAGUGUACCAUGCAGUAAAGGGUAAGUAUACGUUAAUAUAGUCCUACUACAUGAAGGCCAAGAUGGAUACCUUAGGAACAGAUGGAAUAAGUUUCAACCUACUAUUGCGAAAUUCAUCAUCGCCAUCAACAAACCGUUGCAAAAGUGAUCCCGUAACCAAUUGCCUUGUGACAAAAUAAAAUACCAUACUAUAAUGUGUUGAACCAGGAACCUGCAGAUGCUUAGGUUACAACUAUACAACCUCCCAAUACAAUAAGUUUGAAACUUAUACCUUCUGAAAUGAAACAAACUUUCUUGAAGAUUAAAGAUCAGUGAGAAAAGCCCUUUUUCAGAAGCAACCUACAUAUUUUAGAAUAGGGCUCAGUGCGUUAUAGAUUCAAUGAACCAUGAGAAGUUAUUUACAUUGUUGUAUCUCACAGGCAGUCUUUUCUCCUAAUGUAUCAAGGGAAAAUGCUAGUGAAUUGAAUGAAGCUAGAGCAGAGCAUGAUGUUGCUGUGUAGCUGACUUUAGCAGAUCAACUCACUAAGCUAACCUGGCAAAGUUAUUUAGCUGGUUGAGCUGAUGUGUCAAAUUAGUUAUGCAGCAAAUGGUUAUGUGAUGUAACAAACUCGUGUGUGUGUUGAGCAAAUUGUAGCUUAAUAUAAAUAUCAGUCUGUAUUCAUUCAGUUGUAAUGCUAAAGUAAUAAAGGUUCUACAAACUUCUUUACAGAGCUUUCUUUUAUUUUCUUCAUUUUCUAGCUUGCCAAACAAUGCAAAACUAAGUUUCUUUCAUGGUAUUAGAGCCAUAAAUGGCGAAUACAGUUCAAAAUAACAACUCUUUUAGUUUUGUUACGCCUGUAAAGCUAGACCAAAACAACUUCAUUUUAUGGCGGGCACAAAUUUUAGCAUCGAUCAAAGGAAACGGUCUGGAAGGGUUUAUCAAUGGUGAUCAAGAAUGUCCUGAGCAGUUUCUUUCUUCUGGAAACAACAAUGGAGCUGAAAUUUUUACUGAAUCUGAAUCCAAAUCUAUUAAUCCAGAGUUCAUAGCUUGGAUGAAGACUGAUCAACUUCUGUUGAGUUAGAUGAUGUCGUCGAUACAGCAAAAUCUACUUGCUACUGUGAUUGACUCCACAACUUCAAAACAGCUUUGGAAGACUCUUACUAGUAUGUUUAUUUCUUAAUCACAAGCUAGAAUUCAAACACUUAGAAUGCAGAUUCAAACUAUUAAGAAAGGUGCAAUGCAUAUGUCUGAUUACUUUGCAAAAGUAAAACGUAUAGCUGAUACUUUAGCUCUAGCUGGAAAACCUGUUGAGUUAAGUGAUCUUGUGAUGCAUGUAUUAACUGGUCUUGAUUCAUCAGAUUAUGAAUCUUUAGUCACAGGUGUUUUAGCUCGAGGUGAGAAGAUAACAUUAGAUGAACUAUAUCCUUUGCUAUUGAAUCAUGAAAAUAGAGUUGAACAAAAGAAAGGAAAAAUUGCUGGUGAUGUGAUGCACAAUAUGACAGCAAAUAUUGCUCAAAAGAACUCAUAUGCUGGAAAGAAUAAUGGCAAUUUUCAAAAAAAUUAUGGAAAUAAUUCUAGGUAUGGAGGUUUUAAUGGAUAUGGAUAGGGUCAGUUUAAUAAUGGUGGUAAUUCCUCUGAAAUUGUUUGUCAAAUCUGCUUCAUACCUGGUCAUGCAGCCAAUAGAUGCAAAAAUAGGUACAAUUCAUCUUUUGUUCCACAGAGAAACUAUGGCAGAGGUAAUAUGAAUGGUGGCAGAGGUUUUAAUCAAGGGCAAUAUGGUAGAGGAAGAGCUUUUAAUAGUAAUGGUGGCAGAGGUUUUGGAGGUUUUGGUUUAAAUGCUGGUUUUGGCUAUGCACCCAGGGGUUUUGGCUAUCAAGGAAAUAUGGUGUAUCCAGAUAGUAAUCCUUCUGCUUAUUACUCAUUCACCCCUGGACCAUCUACUUUUGUUUCUGGUCAAGGAAAUAAUAAUCCUGGACAGUCAAGUGCUUCAUCUUCCUCAGCUAUGCCUUCUUCACUUCCACCAGAACACAUUGAAGAUCCUUCAUGGUAUAUUGAUAGUGGAGCAACAAAUCACAUUACAAAUGAUCUAGGUAAACUUCUGGAUUCACAAAUUUAUACUAGUACUGAAAAAUUAUUUGUUGGAGAUGGAAAUGCAUUAGCUAUUACACAUGUAGGAUCAGUUGUGCUAAAUACUUCAACUUCUAAACCUUUAAAAACCAUGUUCUUCAUGUCCCUUUUAUUACUAAGAAUUUGCUUAGCAUUUCAAAAUUAUUGGCUGACAAUCCAGUUACUGUUGGAAUUUCUUGGUGAUUUGUUUUUUAUAAAGGCUAGGAACACAAGGAAAAUUUUACUUGAAGGUGUUGCUAAAGGUGACUUGUAUAGAGUCUCUUCACAUGUUGCUGCUCAUUCAGUCUUUCUCAAUUCAGUUGGUCAAAAUAAAAUUCACUCUCUUUGCUUGUUCUCCUGUUUUCAAUUCUGAUCAGCUCACUGCUGUUAGUUCUUAUGAAUUGAAUAAAAAGCCAUGUCUGUCAGUUGUUACAAAGAGUUCUAUUGAUGUAAAUCUUCUUCAUAGAAGAUUAGGACACCCAGCAUCUUAUACUCUCAAAACUAUACUCAAAACUUGUAACAACUCUACUGCUUAUAAUAAAAUUGAAAGCUUGAAAUUUUGUUCAGCAUGUCAAUAUGGGAAAAAUCAUAUGCUGCAUUUUGAUUCAGUUGAAACAAAAACUUCAGCACCCUUACAAGUGAUAUAUGCAGAUCUUUGGGGUCCUUCUCAUGUCUGUUCUACCCAAGGAUAUAAUUACUACUUAUCAAUCUUAGAUGAUUAUAGUAGAUUUACCUGGAUAUUUCCAUUGUCAGCCAAAUCUGAUGCUCUUGAAGUGUUUACCAAUUUCAAAAUUUUUAUUGAAAAGCAUCUUCAACUUCAAAUCAAAACUGUCCAAACUGAUUGGGGAGAAGAGUUCAGAACAUUUUCCUCAUUACUCACUGCUUCUGGUAUCCAUUUUAGACACCCUUGCCCACAUAUUCAUCAUCAAAAUGGAAGAAUUGAGAGGAAACAUAGACACAUAGUUGAUGUAGGUCUGACCUUAUUAGCUCAAGCACAUUUACCACUCAAAUUUUGGUGGAAUGCAUUCCACACAGCUGUCUAUUUGAUAAACAGACUUCCAACUCCAAUUCUAAACAACAUUUCUCCUUUCCAAAAGUUAUUUCAUCAUCAACCAGAUUAUUCAACACUUAAAACCUUCGGUUGUGCUUGUUAUCCAACACUCAGACCAUACAAUAGACAUAAGUUUGAUUUCAGAACUGCCAGAUGUAUAUUCAUUGGCUACAAUUCACAACACAAGGGAUAUCAGUGUCUUCACUCUUCUAAGAGGGUUUACAUUUCAAAUCAUGUCACCUUUGAUGAAAAUUCUUUUCCUUAUGAGUCUGGAGCAGAUUUUUCUUCACUCUCUUCAAGUUGUCAGUCAACAAAAAAUUAUAAGUCUUCUUUCAAUUCCUCUGUUCCUUCUAUUACUCAGUUACAAGCACCUUUAGCAGCAUCAUCAGAACACCAUCAAAAUGUUCAUCAUUCAGAUGCUCCUACUCCCUCACCAAAUUCUACUCCACUUUAUUUUUCUGAUAAUUCCAACUCAGCUUCUUCUUCUUCACCACCACAUAAUUCACCUCCACAUACAUUGCCACAACCUGCAUCAACUGGUCAUCCAAUGAUAACCAGGUCAAAAGCAGGUAUUUUCAACCCAAAAAUUUAUUUGUCAGCUUUAUUAGCCCAGAAAUCAGAACCAACUUCUGUUUCCCAAGCACUUUCUGAUCCUAUGUGGUAUAAGGCUAUGCAAGAAGAGUAUCUAGCACUUAAAACUAAUCACACCUAGGAUUUAGUUUUACAUGCUACUCCAGUGAAGAUAGUUGGCAGCAAAUGGGUGUUUUGAAUAAAGUAUAACUCAGAUGGUUCAGUUUCAAGAUAUAAAGUCAGGCUUGUUGCAAAGGGGUUUCAUCAGACACAUGGGAUUGACCAUACAGAAACUUUUAGUCCAGUGGUUAAAGCUUCAACUGUUAGAGUUAUUCUUAGCUUAGCAGUAUUGAAUCAAUGGGUGAUUAGGCAAGUAGAUGUUAAUAAUGCCUUUCUAAAUGGCAUUUUAAUUGAAGAGGUGUACAUGGCUCAACCUGAAGGUUUUGUUGACUCAACUAAACCUAAUCAUAUCUGCAAGCUGAAUAAAGCUUUGUAUGGCUUAAAACAGGCACCUAGAGCCUGGUUUGAUAGAUUCAAGGAUGCAAUGAUCUCUAAACGGCAUUUCCAGCAUUCAAGGUCUGAUAACUCUCUGUUUCAUGCCUGGAACAGUGGUCAUCUAACUCUUGUUUCGGUCUAUGUUGAUGAUAUUAUCAUCACUAGUUCCAGUCCAACACUAAUUCAGCAAGUUAUUAAGAUUAUGAAUUUGCUUUAAAAGACAUGGGGGAACUUAGCUAUUUUCUGGGGAUUGAAGUCAGCAAGUCUUCACAAGGGGUUUCCUUGACACAAGCAAAGUAUAUUACUGACAUUCUGGAUAAACAUGGCAUGACAGAUUGCAGUCCUGUGCCUACUCCAAUGUCUACUGGUUAUUAUCUCACAAAAGAAUCAGGAGAGCUAAUUGAUAAUGUUUCUCAAUAUAGGAGUGUUAUAGGAGCUCUUCAAUAUGUUACUCUUACCAGACCUGACAUUGCUUUCUCUGUAAACAACCUAAGUCAAUUCCUUUCAAGUCCUAGAACACAACAUUGGGAAACAUGCAAAAGGUUAUUGAGGUACUUAAAAGGCACUAUACAUCUUGGGCUGCAAUUUAAUAACAAAGGAGCUUUGCAACUACAUUGUUUUUCAAAUUCUGACUGGGCUUGUGAUCGUGAUGAUAAGAAGUCAGUGGCUGGCUUUGCUGUUUACCUAGGCCCUAAUCUAGUCUCAUGGUCAUCAAAGAAACAAGCUGUUGUUUCCAGGUCCAGCACAGAGGCUGAGUAUAGAUCUCUUGCUCAUGCUGAUUCAGAGGUUCCCUGGUUACAAUCUUUACUUGGUGAACUUAACAUCAAAUUGAGCUCUACUCCUAUGAUGUGGUGUGAUAAUCAAGAAGCAAUUGCUUUAGCUUACAAUCCAGUCUAUCAUGCUAAAACUAAGCAUGUCGAAUUGGAUAUACAUUUUAUCCGAGAUAAAGUUACUGCUAAAGAGAUUGAAGUAUGUUUUGUGCCCAGUCAAGAUCAAACAGCAGAUGUGUUGACUAAGGCUUACUUUCAAACAGUUUAGUUACUUAAGAAGCAAGCUGAAUGUUCAUCCUAAACAUUUCAGCUUGAGGGGGGAUGUUAGUGAAUUGAAUGAAGUUGGAGCAGAGCAUGAUGUUGCUGUGUAGCUGACUGUAGCAGAUCAACUCACUAGGCUGACCUGGCAAAGUUAGUUAGCUGGUUGAGCUGAUGUGUCAAAUUAGUUAUGCAGCAAAUGGUUAUGUGAUGUAACAAACUUGUGUGUGUGUUGAGCAAAUUGUAGCUUAAUAGAAAUAUCAGUCUGUAUUCAUUCAGUUGUAAUGCUAGAGUAAUAAAGGUUCUACAAACUUCUUUACAGCGCUUUCUUUUAUUUUCUUUCAUUUUCUAGCUUGCCAAACAAUACAAAACUAAGUUUCUUUCAGAAAAGGAAAAAUAAAAAGAAAAGAAUAGUUACUGUUGAAAAUAAAGAUUCAAAGUUAUGAUUUCUUUGUAAUCUAGGCUAUUUUAGGAAUAAGUUAAAUUAUAAUGGGAAGAUUCAUUAGGAUUUUUUCCAGAUUUUGUUUCCUAUUAUUUAGGAAAGGAUAGAUGUAGUCUCCUAUUUUCUCUCCUAUUUUGCUGUAUAUAUUCCCUGUACAUACUGUUCUGGAAAGUAAGAAAAAGAGGAACCAAUUCACAUUUUUCUUCAUGGUAUCAGAGCCUGGCUCUAAACCCUAGUUCUCCUAUCAGCCGCCAUUUCCUUCUUCUCUCAUAAAUUGAACAAUCUACCUUCCUUCCUCUCCCAUCAAUUGUAUUCUCUGUGGCAAAAUACGGGAUGGCUUCCUCAUCAACCUCUGUUACAGUAUCACAGUCUAAAGGAAACGUGGAGACUGCAACUCAUGGUGGAAUUGAUUCUUCACCGAUCUUAAUUACCAGUCAUAAAUUGAACGGCCACAAUUAUCUCCAGUGGUCACAAUCUGUCAUGAUGUUCAUCUGUGGCAAGGGUAAGGAUGAUUAUCUCACGGGUGAGGCGGCCAUGCCAAAGGUAUCAGACCCUAGUUUCAAAAGGUGGAAGUCAGAGAACAACAUGAUCAUGUCAUGGCUUAUCAAUUCCAUGAACAAUGAUAUUGGUGAGAAUUUUCUUCUGUUUGGGACUGCAAAGGACAUAUGGGAUGCUGCAAAGGAAACCUAUUCUAGCUCUGAGAACACAUCAGAGUUAUUCCAGAUUGAAACCAUCCUCCAUGACUUCCGCCAAGGAGAACAAUCUGUCACUCAGUACUUUAAUACUCUGACUAGGCAUUGGCAACACCUUGAUCUAUUUGAAACAUACCCUUGGAAGUGCACCGACGAUACAACCUUGUACAAGAAGAUUGUGGAACAGAAGAGAACGUUUAAAUUUCUCCUCGGACUCAAUAAAGAUCUUGAUCAGGUUAGGAGCCGUGUACUCGGGACAAAGCCUCUACCACGCCCUCGUGAAGCCUUUUCUGAAGUUAGGCAUGAAGAAAGUAGGAAAAAGGUGAUGAUGGGGUCAUCAGAACCAACACUGGACGCCUCUGCACUUGCUGCCCGUGCAUCCAACUCUGUAGGGGUUAGUGAAAAUCGUACAAAGAAAGAAAGACCAUGGUGCGAUCACUGUCGUAAGGCAGGCCACUAUAAGGAGAGUUGCUGGAAAAUUUAUGGCAAGCCUGCUGAUUGGAAACCUCGUUCCAAAGGUGACCGUGAAUCUCGUGCUCAUGCAGCAUCCACCACGGACAAUCAGGCCCUACCCGAGCCAAAUCCAUUCAGCAAGGAGCAAAUGGAGAUUCUUCAAAAGCUUUUCGAUCAAGCCACUUUGAACUCCAAUGCAGGGACAAGUCUAGUGGCUCAGAAAGAGACUCAUUCAGCAUUUGCAGCCACUAAUGGAGCAAGCAAACCUUGGAUAAUUGACACUGGUGCUUCUGAUCACAUGACUGGAGAUGCCUCAAUGUUGCAGGAUUAUAAAGCUAGCAUCAACAGCACUUCAGUCUGGAUCGCAGAUGGCUCUCACACAAAAAUAGCAGGGACAGGUUCCAUCAGACUCACUAAGGAGUUACACCUUAAUUCUGUACUUUAUGUGCCUAAUUUGGCUUGCAAUUUACUUUCAAUCAGUAAAUUCACUCGUGAUCAGAAUUGUGUAACUAAAUUCUAUCCAAAUAUGUGCGUUUUUCAGGACUUGGAUUCGCGAAGACGAUUGGCAGUGCUGAGCUAUGUUCUGGACUCUAUCUACUCAAAAGCGAUCAAUCCUCCUUCAUACAAGAUUCGAGAGCAAACUGUGCCAAGUCCAAUAGUCUGUCAACUAGUUAUCCUCAUUCUAUUGUUAGUCCAAAUGUCAAUAACGAUAGUGAAAUUGUUCUGUUACACUAUCGAUUAGGUCAUUCUAGUUUCAUGUAUCUCGCAAAAAUUUUUCCCAAUCUAUUCAUCAAUAAAAACCCUUUAUCAUUUCAUUGUGAAAUUUGUCAAUUUGCAAAACAUACUCGAAAUGUUUAUUCAAGUGUUAAGUAUAAGCCUUCUCGUCCAUUUGCUUUAAUUCACAGUGAUGUGUGGGGUCCCUCAAGAAUUAAAAAUGUUUCUGGGGCUCGCUGGUUUUUGUCAUUUGUGGAUGAUCAUACUCGUCUCACUUGGGUGUUUCUCAUGAAAAACAAAUCCGAAGUUAGUCAAAUCUUCCAAAACUUUAACGCCAUGAUUCAAACCCAAUUCAAUACCAAAAUCCAAGUCCUUAAAACCGACAAUGCCAAGGAAUAUUUCAAAGACUCCCUCAGCUCAUAUCUUCUCCAUCAAGGCAUUCUUCACAUCAGUUCUUGUGUUGACACCCCGCAACAAAAUGGGGUCGCUGAACGCAAAAACAGACACCUUCUUGAAGUGGCUCGCUGUCUUUUGUUCUCAUCUCAUGUUCCUAAUUUUUUCUGGGGUGAAGCUGUUCUCACUGCAGCCUACUUAAUCAACCGAAUGCCUUCUAGAGUCUUGGGGUUUCAUUGCCCAAGAAAAGUUCUUCUCAAUUUCUUUCCACACACUAGGAUUGUUUCAGCAGAUUUACCACAAAAAAUAUUCGGUUGCACAGCAUAUGUCCAUGUUCACUCUCAACACAGGACUAAACUUGAUCCCCGAUCUCUCAAGUGUAUAUUUUUAGGCUAUUCUCCACAUAAAAAAGGAUACAAAUGCUAUUCUCCUCAUACCAGAAAAAUAUACAUUUCCAGAGAUGUAACAUUUGUUGAAAACCUGCCUUUAUAUUCCAAAACUGUUGUUCAGGGAGAGAGUAUGAGCGAACAUCAGCCUUGGGAAUCUUCUUGGCAAUCUUGGCUGGAAACCCCUCAUGAAAACCCUCAUAACUCAACCACCACACAUGAUCAAUCUAUCCAACAGCCACAAUCAGCAAUCCUCCCAACAUCUUCACAACCUUUUGAGUCAUCUGAGUCCUCCCAACCACAAUCAGCCGAGUCACCCCGUCAUCCAUCAGCCCAUCAACUACAGCCUCUAAUCUCACCUCUUCCACAGCUUGCUGUUGAUAAUCUUAAUGUUUAUAGGAGGAGAAGAACUGGAGAGCAGAUAGAGCACAGAACUCAGCCACAUGUCCAAGAAACUGAACCAAAUCCAAGCUCUUAUGAAGACAACACAGGUAUGGAUAGUCUUGCCUCGGUUGAGUUCAUGGUUCCAAGUGUGGAUGAUUCUAAUAAAUCAAUUGCAGAAAGAAAGGGGGUUCAAAGUUGUACCACUCAUCCAAUUGCCAAAUAUGUCUCAUAUGAUGGUUUGUCCCCAUCAUACCGAGCCUUUGUUUCUUCUUUAGAUAAUCUACAUGUUCCCAACAAUAUACAAGAGGCUCUCGGUCAUCCUGAGUGGAAGAGAGCUGUUCAUGAAGAAAUAAAUGCUCUUGAGAAAAAUGAUACAUGGGUUAUAACAGAUCUUCCUGCAGGGAAACGACCAGUUGGAUGUAAGUGGAUUUUUACUGUUAAAUACAAGGCAGAUGGAAGUGUUGAGAGCCUCAAAGCUCGUCUUGUAGCUAAAGGGUUCACACAGUCAUAUGGGAUUGAUUAUCUUGAAACCUUUGCUCCGGUUGCGAAGCUCAACACCAUUAGAAUCUUGCUCUCCUUAGCAGUAAAUCUAGAUUGGUACUUAUACCAACUAGAUAUAAAAAAUGCGUUUCUCAAUGGCGAUCUUGAAGAAGAAGUGUUUAUGGAAGUUCCCCAGGGUCUUGAUCUGAAUCUUACUAGAAAUAAAGUGUGCAAGCUCAAGAAAUCUUUGUAUGGGCUUAAACAAUCCCCUCGAGCAUGGUUUGAUAGAUUUGCGAAGGCAGUUGUGAGACUUGGUUACACUCAGUGUCAGGCAGAUCACACUUUAUUCCUCCGAACAUCACAAGCAAAGAAGAUCUCUCUCCUAAUCGUAUAUGUUGAUGACAUCAUUCUCUCAGGAAAUGAUGAGGAAGAACUGCAGAAGUUGAAGAAACAGCUAGCUCAGGAAUUCGAAGUUAAAGAUCUAGGGAAUCUGAAAUAUUUUCUUGGGAUGGAGGUGGCAAGAUCUAGGAAGGGAAUUGUUGUCUCCCAAAGGAAAUACACCCUGGACUUACUAAAGGAGACUGGUAUGAUUGGGUGCAAACCAGUAGAUACUCCUAUGGAUCCCUACAAGAAACUAGGCUCAGUUGAGAAUAGUGUUCCAGUCAAUAGAGGGAGAUAUCAAAGACUGGUUGGUCGUUUAAUUUAUCUCUCACAUACCCGUCCGGACAUAGGCUUUGUUGUUAGUGUUGUGAGCCAAUUCAUGCACAAUCCUACAGAGGAACACAUGGAUGCAGUCUUUAGAAUUUUGAAGUAUCUAAAGAUGACACCUGGAAAAGGAUUGUUUUUCAAGAAAUCAGAAUAUAGGAAUAUUGAGAUCUACUCUGAUGCAGACUGGGCUGGAGACAUCACAAAUAGAAGAUCAACAUCUGCUUACUGUUCCUAUGUCUGGGGAAAUCUAGUAACCUGGAGGAGUAAGAAACAAUCAGUUGUAGCUAGGAGUAGUGCAGAAGCAGAGUUCAGAGCUUUGGCAAAUGGAAUCUGUGAAGGAAUUUGGAUAAAGCGUGUACUCAAGGAACUCGGUGUGUGCAGCCCUUCAUCCAUUCUAAUGAGGUGUGACAAUCAAGCAGCAAUCAGCAUCGCAAAAAACCCAGUGCAUCAUGAUCGAACCAAACAUGUCGAGAUUGAUAGGCACUUCAUCUCAGAGAAGGUCACUAGUGGAAGUGUGGAACUAAAGUACAUUCCAACUAGACAACAAAUUGCAGACAUCCUUACUAAAGCACUGCCAAGACCUAACUUUGAAGACUUAAGUAACAAGCUGGGUUUGUAUGAUAUACACACACCAGCUUGAGGGGGAGUGUUGAAAAUAAAGAUUCAAAGUUAUGAUUUAUUUGUAAUCUAGGCUAUUUUAGGAAUAAGUUAAAUUAUAAUGGGAAGAUUCAUUAGGAUUCUUUCUAGAUUUUGUUUCCUAUUAUUUAGGAAAGGAUAGAUGUAGUCUCCUAUUUUCUCUCCUAUUUUGCUGUAUAUAUUCCCUGUACAUACUGUUCUGGAAAGUAAGAAAAAGAGGAACCAAUUCACAUUUUUCUUCAGUUACUUGUGCAGUACAGCCUUGACGCCUAGCUACAUGGUCCAUUCUCUUUGUGUCUUUGAACCAAUCAACAGCAACAAGAUCCAUUAAAUGUUUUCCCGCAGGUGUCUGCAGUUACAAAUUGCACAAAGCACAAGAGCCAACCAAACUACAUCAUAACAUGUCGACCUAGCAUAUGCAGGAUAUAUAAAUACCAUAACAAACAACCAAAAUAUGGGGGAACCUUUGUUUUGUCAUAACAAAAAUGCUUGCUACGAACUCUAAAGUUAUUUCCACCAGAAAGUUUCCAGCAGUCACGAGCAUUAUCACAGUCAUCGUGUCGCAGAUUGCCGGAAAAAUAAGACAAAUCAAUUUGAUCAGCCUGCUCUUCCUCUAGGGUAACAACUAAUUGAAAAUUAUAAACCAAAAAAAAAAAAUCAAUACCAUAAAAAUCCACUAAUGAGGACAUUAGCCAAAUAUACAAAAAUGAAUACUUAUCAUCCACCUGUCCUCUUGAAAUCAUUCUCAAUCUUUUUUUCAUUUGCCUGAAAUCCCAAGGAAAAAUAUGGAACUAAUACUUCCCAUUCAUGACUAUUGUCUGUCAUAUAAACAUGACAUUUAAUUGAAAUAGUAAAAUUAUUUAAUUAUUUUAAUUAAAUGUUAAUCCUAUAAAUUAUUUUUGUUAAAUCUAGCAAGAAUAACUAACAUUUCUUUAAGAUAUAUUUUGGCGGUAAAUUAAAAAAAAUUAAUUAUUUGGCGGGAAUUAUUGAAAUUGGAGCCAUUUUUUUGUGGGAAUUGAAAUAUAUUCUUUAAAUUAUUAUAUAAAAAGAAAAAUGUACAUACACACACAUAUAUAUAAUUUAUAUAUAAAAAUUCUCUAAUUUGUUCACAAGUAUCAUAGAUUAUAAUUCAGUUAUGAAAUAAAAUAACUACAAGGAAAAAUAUGUAACUAAUACUUCCCAUUCAUGACUAUUGUCUGUCAUAUAAACAUGACAUUUAAUUGAAAUAGUAAAAUUAUUUAAUUAUUUUAAUUAAAUGUUAAUCCUAUAAAUUAUUUUUGUUAAAUCUAGCAAGAAUAACUAACAUUUCUUUAAGAUAUAUUUUGGCGGUAAAUUAAAAAAAAUUAAUUAUUUGGCAGGAAUUAUUGAAAUUGGAGCCAUUUUUUUGUGGGAAUUGAAAUAUAUUCUUUAAAUUAUUAUAUAAAAAGCAAAAUGUACAUACACACACAUAUAUAUAAUUUAUAUAUAAAAAUUCUCUAAUUUGUUCACAAGUAUCAUAGAUUAUAAUUCAGUUAUGAAAUAAAAUAACUACAAUAAUUAUAGUUAAAUGAAUACUUCAUUAAUUCUUAAUUUGCUUCCUAACAUUAAAUGAACAACUUGAGCCAACCACCUGAAUCAACCAGUAACAACGCCUGAGUCAACCAUCUGAAAAAACCAGCAACCCUAGCUGAUUCAAGCACCUGCAAUUAACAUCAACACAUCAGGAACAAUCGUAAAUCAGCACCAAGAACAGACCAAACUGCCAUCAAAUGCCACAAAACCAAACAGUCUGCUACUGCCAUCAAAUGCAAGCAAACAUAUGCAACAAAACCAGAUGCAAGUGAAAAUCUGGAGAAUAUCGGAUAAACCAAACCAAAUGCCACACUUCUAGUAAUUAGACUAGAUGCAGUGUUCAAUUAAACUAAAUGUAGUCUCAUAUUACAUUCAAAGGUGAAAACACUGUAAAAAAAAAUACAGCCAAAACAAUUGUUUACUUUUAAGUUCUAACAAAGCGUAACAGUCCAAAACCAAAACAUCUUAACUACCAAGCAAACAUCUAACAUAAUUAUUAAAAUUAAAAAGGAAAAAACAUAGGAAUCUCAGUUCUUAUACAUUUUGUAUGCAUUUAGUAAGCACACGCACAUAGACCAUCUAUGCAUAACCUUCUUCUAGCCCACCUGCAGAUGUCACAGAGAAGAGACAUUUUUUGCAGCUUGAAGUGCUCCAAUUGCUUUGUGAAGGUCCAAUUGUAAGCCUAAAUAUUGAAUCCAUGAGUCCAUAUAAUUGAAGGCUGGUGGCGACUUUUGAGUACAAAUCAAGAGAGAGUGAAGUGUGAAUUUCUGCAUGGCCCAUAACUUCAUCCACGUAGCUAUUCACUUCUUUGCAGUGAAAAGUUCCUUAAUCCUGGCACUAAUGUUGGGCAUCAUUUUGAUUUUUCAAGCCCUUUUAGAACACUUAUUGAUUUAGGAAAUUAAGGGAGCCAUUGAAAGGUGACUAAAACGGAGUGAGUUAGGGGUCCUACCUCUCUGUAGGGCUCUCGAAUCGCGGGAAAUGAGCUCCAUUGUGACCUUCAUUUCCUCCUUUUCGGAAAAAUUAGUUCAUGGCGCUUACGAUGUGAGCAAUUACUCUUUCUGGUGUCCUGAUGGUUGAUAACAGAGACUUUCAGCCUCGCUGCCUCAGGUAAGCUUGAUGGGAGGACCAGAUGUCAUACAAAAAAUAAAAGCUUUCUUUUCUCGGUAAAAGCAUGCGCAUUUUUCUGUAAGUGGGGAAGAGGCCGCGCCGUCAACACUGCAUCGGUGAAGAUGGGUGGUGGUUGUUGGUGGAGAAACGGAGGGAGGUGGCGAUUCUGAGACUUGUUGCGAUUUAGGGUUGGCCGGUUGGGUUUGGGGGAAAUUGGGUAAAGCAAAAUGCAUUUUUGUUGUUAUAUAUAUAUAUAUAUAGAUAUAUAUAUAGUAGUUGGAUUAGCUAAAAGACAAAAAAAUUUAAAUUUUACUACACUACAUGAUAAAAUACAGUGCAUUGGAGUAUGUGUUUAUUUUGUCUUUUAACUAAUCCCUGAUUGGAAAACUACUAUAUAUAUAUAUAUAUAUAUUUUUUUUUUACUUAAUAAAAAAGUGGGCACGGGUCCGGGUUCCGGAUUCUUGGUGCUGUGACCGGACCCGUGCCCGGAUCCGCUUUUUCCAUGCAUCCGAUCCGGGUUUUACCCGGACCGUAUGCACCAGGUCCAGUCCGGAUCCGGUCUGAGCGGGCUUUUCUGCCAUCUCUACAGUGGAGAGAGGGAUUAAUUCAACGCUUAGCCAAAAUUUGGCUGCGAGUGUUAAUGGGUUUUAAGUUAUACAAAACGGUGUCGUUAAUUUAAACGGCAUUGUUUUACAAUCUUAUAAGUUCACAAAACUUAAGCAUGACUUAUAUGUAUAAUUUAUUUACGAUGGUUAAGUUAUAAGUCAUGAAUAUGUCAUAUACUCUGGACAUGAAUAUAUAUCACGAAUCUAUCAUAUUUUCAUGACACAUUCGUGACAUAACGAUAUAUGUUAUAAAAUUUCUGUCAUUAUUUAGUAUUUUUCUAGUAAUGUCAGGUCUUUAAAACCUUUCUAUUAAUAACAAAAACUCUAAUCCUUUAGCAAAAGACUAAAAAUUUUAAAAAAAUCUGUUUAAAUAUCAGUUGGCUCAUAAUCAACACUUCAAUAUUGUUUGUUGUAUUUUCUUUCUUUCUUUUUUUGUCAUUUUAUUAGAUUUGCUUUGUAUCAUGGUUUGUUUUGCUUAAGUAAUUGUUCAUUAUUUACGUCUGUGUUCUUACUAGCUUUUGAUAAUUUAUGGUUGGUUUUUUAUUCAGACCCUCGAAGUACCUUUUUGUUAAUAGCAAAACCUCUGAUCCUCAAGAAAGAAAAAGAAAUUCUCUAUUUAAUUAUUAGUUAGUUCAAGAUCAAUAUCGCAAUAUUGUUUGCAGUCUUUUCAUUCUCUGUCUUUCCCACUAGUUCAUUUUAAUUUAUCUGUAUUCCUUUCUUUGACACUUGUAUUUAUUUAUAUAGAUUGUUAAGCAACAGGCAAUGGCUGCAGAAGGGUGUCUCCCUACUUUUUCUAGCAUUGUAUCACAAGGUUCAAAAGCAUUAUUCAAACCGAUUAUGUGGCACAUAUCUUAUGUGUUCCGAGUACCAGAGCUACAUAGAUGGGCUAAAAGAUUGAGUGAAGGAGCUGGAAUAUAUAAGAGAAAGGGUGCAAAUGCUGGUUAGAGAGGCUACUCUACAAGGAGAUGAGAUUUAUAAGGGUGUCAGAGACUGGCUAAAUAGAGUUGCUGAAUUCAGUGAAGGGGUUGCAAAAUCAAUCAUUGAUGAUAAAGAUAGAGCUAAGAUGUUCUGCUUCAAAAGGUUGUGCCCAAAUUUGAUUUCUUGUUACAAGCUUGGUAAACAAGCAGCAGAGGCCGCAAACGAAGCUGAUAAACUUGUGAAGAAAGGCGAAUUUAACAUUUGUAAUCAUGUUUCCUACCGUCCUGCUCCAGAGAGUACAGAAUAUGUGCAAGUGAAAGAUUACGUAGCCUUUUAUUAUAAUAUCUUUUCACUCUAUUAACUUAAAAAAGAUUGACUUCAAUAUUAAAAAUGUAACAGUAUAUACAUUUUAUAAUAAUUUCAAUAUUUAAAAAAUAUUUGAAUACUUUACAAUCUUAUAUUAUAUUAAACUACAUUUUAUAAUAAAUAGAAACAUAAUAUUAAAAUAAAUAUAUAAAAUUUUAAGUUAGGCUUAAUAUUAUUUAAAAUAAUUUAAAUAUCAUUAAUACAUGAGAUAUAUUAUAUUAAUUAUAAAUUCUAUUUAAUCUAAAUAUAUAUUUAAAGUUUUAUACUAAAAAUAGAUAUAUUAUUAAAAUAAAUAUAACAACUAACAUUUUAAAGAUUAAUACUGAAAUUAAAAUUAUAAAUUAUAUUAAUCUACUAAAAAGAUUCAUCUAUUUGACACUAGCAGCGGACAAUGAGGUCACGGCAUAGGACAAGCAGUUAUCGUGACCCAUGGACUUUUCUACUUCUUUUGAAAAAAAAAAAAAUAUCAAAGUCAUUGAAGUGCGUUUGAUGAUAUGCUGUGUAGCUUCUCUCUCAAAUGCUUUUCGAGUGCCUCCAGUAUCUGCUUUUAUAUAAGCUUUUGUCUUUAAUCAUUCAUUCAAGCUUUCGCUAAGAGUGAUGCAGCACAGCACGUAAAUAUAGAAGCAUUGACAGCCGUAGUCAGGAGCUCUUCGGUAUUUGAAGCAAGAAUGGUUGUUUGGCUUUGUGCAUUGAAAGAGAAAAGAAAAAAGAAAGACUAAUUUCAAUAAUACAAUUUAAUUAAUUAAUUUAAAAUAAUAAGCAAAUAAUAAUGAUGAAAUUAAUUAAUAAAAAGAAGAAAAUGAAAAUUGCACGUGCUACUAGCAUAAACCAAUUGCCGGAAUGAGGUCACUUUGUAGACAAAUGAUUCUGGAAUCAGAACUUGGGCCAGCUUUGGGUUAUGGAUCCAAAAUAAAAAUAAGGUGGGCCACAUGGUCUCUUAUGAUCAAUAAAAAUCGAUUGAAAAGGAUGGUAUAGUGAGUGGAAGAGAAAUGCCGAUGGCAGAUCAAGGGAUGAAGAUACGAGCUCACUUGCAACGUGGUAUAGUUCAUCAUGGCUGGCUUUCCUAUAAGUUCAGGUCCUUUGAAUACUUUCAAUGACCUUAUUAGUCAGGAAUUUAACAAUAAUUUUUAUUUUUUACAUCCAGGAACGGUUUUAAGCAUAGGCAAAUUAGGCCUAUAAUAGCAAAUCCUCUUUUUUAACAAUUAAACAAUUAGGAAGUCUCCCUUUUUUAUUUUUGGUAUUACUUAUAAUAGCAAAUCUUCUUUUUUAGGCCUCUUUUUAGUUAGUAAUUAUCUUAUAAUUAAGAAUUUUUAUACACAUUCUAUCUUUGAUAACCUUAAUAUUAAAGAUCUCUAAUUAAUAGUAUUAUCUAAUUGUUAAUUUAUUAUUAGUUUUUCCAAGAAAAAAAUUAAAAUCUUUAUCUAUUUAAUACUUCAGUUUUUUUUUCGUCAGUGGCAGAUAAAAGAGUCGGUUUUUCCGUUACUAAGCUUUUUAUGGAUGAAUUUUUUUUUAUAAUUUCUUUGUUUUAUAGGUUCUCUGUGAAUGCCAUUAGAAAUGAGAUUGACUAAUUCAAACUUCCUUUUUCCCCUUAGCAUCCAAACGUGUGAGGCAAGGGCAACUAAUGAGUCCAUUGUGAUGAGAACCUUUGUCUAAGCAAAAGCAGAGGUCAAUUGCUAAUACCGUACUGUUAUUAGUUUCAGUGCUUAAAUUGCUCCAUAAGUUUGCAUUUUAAAGUCUCUGUCUUAAUUUCUGAGGUAUACUGCUAAUGAGACCUCCUGCCAAGUUCAAGUUUGUUGUGAUGGCUACUUUGUCAUAUAACUGACUGUGAGAGGCCAUCAAUCAGCUCUGUUUUGUAAUUUUGUACCUUUUUUUUUCAUAUAAUGAUCAAUCAAAUGUUAGCCCUUAGAUUGCAACCAAUAUUUACUGAUUGUCUUAUAUAGGAUAUAAACUAAAUUCAUAAGACAUUCCCUUAUUGAUAUUCAUUCCGACACGUCCUAGUCUUUUGCCUUGUAGAAAUGCUUGUGGUUGAAGAGCUUUACAGAGAAGCUGUCGUCAGUACUGCGCGGAAAUUGAUUAUAUUGAAUCAGAAAACUUGACCAGAUAAGGUCUGUGUGCAUGAGAAUACUUGAGGAAAGCUUCACAAUACUGAGGGCCGGAUCUGCACUCUUUCCUCUAUAUGUGUCUUCAAUAUCAAUGGCUCAAAUACAUGUGUUAUGGUCUUUUAAUAUAUAUAAAAUACCAUUAUCUCAUGCGUUAUGGUCUUAUCCUUGUAUUCUUAAAAACUACAUAAAAUACCGUUAUCUCUGCUUUUGUAGCUAUUGAAUUCGACUUUCACAACAUAAAUAUUUAUUAGCAACAACUUAAAAUCCAAACAAAUCUAACAUGCAAUGUAUCAAUUACAUAUUAUGAUUAAACAGAUUUUGAUUAUUUAUUAUUAAAAUAUAUUCUCAUUAAUAUCUUAAGGAUAGGUAAUACUCACAUAAUUUUUUUAAAAAUCAAACCCAAAUUAUAUGCAUUGUUAAUGUGUAUUAUUGUCUAAUAUUUGGAUUUUACUAAUUUACAACUGCUAUAAUGUACGGCCUCUUCAAACAUAAUGUGGGUCCCACCACGUGUUAAAUUUUUUACAUUAUUUUUGAAGGAAUUGUAAGUUACAGCAGCUGUAAAUUAGCAGCACCUCCAAUAUUUUACUUUACUUCCCCUAAUAUUUUACUUGUACUUUUAUAUCUUUACAAAACAAUACCAACAAGACAAUAAUGUAUGAAAUAAAUAAAAUAAAUAAAUAAAGAACUGACAACGAAAUUAGGCCUAUCAUUAAUUUCUCUUGGUGUGAACUCUUGACAAUUCUCCCAUAUCCCACCUAAAGCUCUCGCAUGGUGUGAACGCUUGACGAUUCUCCCAUAUCCCUCCAAAAAUUUGUCAUAUUGCGAAAAACAAUGUCAAUUCAAUAUCGUCUCCAUUAGUCAUAGUGGCAGAUAGGACUAGAAUUUGUUGAAACCCUUGGACUUAUUUUUCCUUUUGAAAAUAAUUUUGUAGAAUCUCAUAUCGUGAAUAACGGACAAUGAGACUCUUUUUUUUAACUAUAAUAUUUUUUUAAAAUUAUUAACUAAAAAAAUUAAUUUUAAUAUUUUAUAAUAAAUAUAAGUAGGAUAUUAAAAUAAAUAUAAUAAUAUAUACAUAUUAAAAUAAUUUCAAUACCAAAAAAUAUUUUAAUAGUUUACAAUCUCGUAUUCUAUUAAACCAAAUUAUAAUAAAUAGAGACAUAAUAUUAAAAUAAAUAUAUAAAAUUUUAAAUUAUUUUCAAUAUCAUAUAAAAUAACUUUAAUAUUAUUAAAACGUGAGAAAUAUUAUAUUAAUUAUAAAAACUAUUUAACCCAAGGAUUUGUUUAAAAUUUUUAUAAUAAAUAUAUUAAAUUACAUUUUAAAAAUUAAGUAUUUAAAUUAUACAUACUAGUCUACUAGAAAAUUUAAACUAUUUAAAUCAUAUUUACAUUUAGUAAAAAAUUUUGAAGUCAUUUUUUUUUUUGUGAAUACCAUAAGAGUGCUAUAGUCAAAAAGGGUAUUGGUGUUCUUUAUUAAAAGUUUGGGGUCUACAUGACUAUUUUCUAAAAUUUUAAGGGUGUCAUUUUAUUUUUGAAAAAAAUAAAAAUUUCAUUUAAACAGCUAAAAUGGUGAAUAGUACAAUGCUACAGUGGGCGUAAAUGGAAGGUAAAAAGCAAUCAGAUUUUGAUUAAACAUGCAAUGUAUGAAAUAUAUAUUAUAAUUAUACAGAUUUUGAUUAUUUAAUAUUAAAUUAUAUUCACAUUAAUAUCUUAAGGAUAGUUAAUACUCAAAUAAUUUUUCAAAAAAUCAAACCCAAAUUAUAUGCAUUGUUAAUGUGCGUUAUUGUCUAAUAUUUGGAUUUUGCUAUGUCACAACUACUGUAACUUAAAGCCUCUUCAAACAUAUGUCGAUCCCACCACGUGUUAAAUUUUUUACAUUAUUUUUUAAGGGAUUGUAAGUUACAACAGCUUAACUUAGCAGCACCCUAAUAGUUUAUUUUACUUUUAUAUCUUUACAAAACAAUGCCAACAAGACAACAAUGUAUGAAAUAAAUAAAAUAAAUAAACAAAGAUCUGACAGCAAAAUUAUGGCUAUCAUUGGUUUCUUGUGGUGUGAACUCUUGACAAUCCUCCCCAAUCCCAUCCAAAACUCCCGCGUAGUGUGAACAUUUGACGAUUCUCCCAUAUCCCUCCAAAAAUUUGUCAUAUUGCGAAAAGUAAUGUCAAUUGCAAUGUCGUUUUCAUUAGUCAUAGUGGCAAAUAGGACUAGAAUUUAUUGAAACCCCUCGACUUAUUUUUCCUUUUGAAAAUAAUUUUGUAGAACCUCAUAUCGUGAAUAAAAGACAAUAAGACUCUUUUUUUUAAUUAUAAUAUUUUUUAAAUUUAUUAACUAAAAAAAUUAAUUUUAAUAUUUUAUAAUAAAUAUAAGUAGGAUAUUAAAAUAAAUAUAAUAAUAUGUACAUAUUAAAAUAAUUUCAAUACCUAAAAAUAUUUUAAUAUUUUACAAUCUCGUAUUCUAUUAAACCAAAUUAUAAUAAAUAGAGACAUAAUAUUCAAAUAAAUAUAUAAAAUUUUUAAUUAUUUUCAAUAUCAUAUAAAAUAAUUUUAAUAUUAUUAAAACAUGAGAAAUAUUAUAUUAAUUAUAAAAUCCAUUUAACCCAAGGAUUUGUUUAAAAUUUUUAUAAUAAAUAUAUUAUUAAAAUAAAUAUAUUAAAUUACAUUUUAAAAAUUAAUUAUUUAAAUUAUACAUACUAGUCUACUAGAAAAUUUAAACUAUUUAAAUCAUAUAUACAUUUAGUAAAAAAUUUUGAAGUCAUUUUUUUUUUGUGGCUACCAUAAGAGUACUAUAGUCAAAAAGGGUAUUGGUGUUCUUUAUUAAAAUUUUGGGGUCUACAUGAUUAUUUUCUAAAAUUUUAAGGGUGUCAUUUUAUUUUUGGAAAAAAAAAUUCAUUUAAACAGCUAAAAUGGUAAAUAGUACAAUGCUACAAUGGCGUAAAUGGAAUGUAAAAAGCAAUCAAAAUGACCAACAGUCUAACGCCUCAUCAGGGACAUAAAGUCAAAGUUUGUUGCAUGUGGUCAGGGCCAUUUAGUCUGUGAGUGGGUCCUGCAUGUCAUUUUUGGGCAUUUCAUCUUCUUUAGCAUUGAAGAUUAAAUGUUGACGACAUUUUCAAAAUUUUGGAAGACCCAUUAUACUUUUGGAUGGCUGUCAUUACUUGAUAUUAUCAUUAUAUGAUGAAAUAAAAUUGGAUGUAACACUUGUUUCGCGUUGUGGGAACUUUUGACAAUUCCCCAUAUCUCCUAAAAAUCUUUCGCCAUUUUGGGAAGAUGCCAUUUAUUUUCAUUUUCAUCAUUGAUAUUGGCAGAUAAUGGGGUCCGAGGACAGACCAUAAAUUAUUGCGACCCAUGGACUUUUCUAAUUUUUUUUUUUCCUUUGGAUAGUUUUCGUUAUUUGAUAGAAGGAGAUAGAGAUAAAGUUUUUUAAUCAAAUGCCCAUUUUAUUUAACAUGGAAGAAGAUCUUUAAACUCUAAGCGAGGCUAUCACUUCAACAGAUGCAGCUUCAAAAAAGAGGUAACAAGUGAUGAGAUAGACUCAUUAUUGUCUAAUCAAACAAGGACAUCGGUAGAUGUAUCAGGAUCUUAAGUUAGAUUGGAAUUUGAUACAUUGUUGUUCGUAACGUUGGUUCAAACCUUUAAAGCAAGGUUGGAUGCAAAAUGGUUUACACCAAAGACGUGAUUUAGGAAGUUAAUUAACGUUAUUUUAGAUAAUUUAUAAUUCUAAAAUAUUUAUUAUUUUAUGGUUUUCUAUUUUUGUUUGAGUCAAUUAUGGUAUGUAUCUUAAUCUUUUAUUUCCAUUAUAAUUAUAAUUUAAAUUUUCUUUUUAGGUUAACUUAGGAAAGUGGAUUUCUUUUAUUAUAAAUAAAGAUGUCUGUAAUAAAAAAAAUAAAGAUGUCUUGUCAUUGUUUUCAGGACUUCAAAUUCAAUUAUUAAAUAAAACUCUUUUUUUUAUAAUUUCCUCUAGUAUUAUUUAUCAAAAUCUCUCUUAUAGAGUUAUUUAAAUUAGAGUGUCAUCUAAUCUCGUAUUACGCGUUAUUAAAAAUCUCAUUGAAUCAUUUAGAUUAAAACAAUAUCUAAUCACGCUUUGAUUAAAGCGUAAGUUAAUUGUGUUGGCUUGAUCCAGUACUAGAAUGAUAUUUAGUAUUUCUUACCUUAUCAAUUCCACUUCCGCUACGCUCGCUCCAUCAAUUGGUAUCAAAGCAAUUCUGUGCGAAUCACACAUCUUUCCUAGAUACACCAUACCCAUCCAAACCAAAUCCAUCAAAAAAAAAAAUUACAAAUUUGAAAACCCUACCCGUCAGACCAACCCCCACCGCCGCCCACCACCGCCAAUCAGCCAGCCAACACCACCACAAACCUCACUAGCCACCGUCGACCAAGCCUCAGUCAUCGCUGCCUCAACCGCCGCUUGAACAGCCGCAAAUCACCAACCCAAACCUGCGGCUCCACCAAGCAACCCACCACCAUUCAGCCACUUUCUCCACCAGCCACCUCCACCAACAAACUCGCCGGCCUUCGUUGACCAAAAACUGACCGACUUCGGCCCUUGAUCGCCGCCCUCUGUCACCACACGAAACGACAACCCACGAGUGCUUCCUACACGCGCCGCCACCAAAACACCUUCUUUUUCCGUCAAUUUACACCACCACCAUAAUCCCUAGCAGUCGGCAACCGUAAAUCCAGUCUUCCGCCACUGUAAAGCCGCCAUAAACCAAAAGCCACAUCACCAAAAUCAACCGCCAAUUCAAGUCGGAUUUUCCCCAAUUCAGGUUGCUGAAUAUAAAAAGGACUCAUGAAAAUUACCUAAAGUUUCAAAUAUUGUUAUUCAGCAACCACUUUUAUGGUACAUUAGUUUCAACCCAAAUUUUAUAUAAAUAAUUUAUAACUCCCAUUAUUAUUAUAAAAAAAAAUUGUAGCAAUUGUGGUUAUAUCACAUGAAAAAAAAAAUCUAAUUAAAGAAAUUAACAUUAUAAUUUAAGGGAUAGUUGCUCUUUUAAUCAUUAGAAUUUAUGUCAAUUAUCCAGCUUAUCCUUGCAUUCUUAAAAACUAUAUACAAUACCAUUAUCUCUGCUUUUGUAGCUAUUGAAUUUGACUUUGACAACAUAAAUAUUUAUUAGCAACAACUUAAAAUUCAAACAAAUCUAAUAUGUAAUGUAUGAAAUACAAAUAAUAAUUAAACAAAUUUUGAUUAUUUAAUAUUAAGAUAUAAUCACAUUAAUAUCAUAAGGAUAGGUGGUACUCAAAUAAUCUUUUAAAAAUCAAACCCAAAUUAUAUGCAUUAUUAAUAUGCAUUAUUGUAUAAUAUUUAGAUUUUGUUAAGUUACAACUACUAUAACUUAAGUCUCUUAAAAAAUAUGUGAGUCCCACCACCUAUUAAAUUUUUUACAUUAUUUUUGAAAAAAUUACAAGUUACAUCAGUUGUAACUUAACAGCACCCCUAGUAUUUUACUUUACUUUUAUACCUUUACAAGAACAAUAAUGUAUGAAAUAAAAAAAAUAAAUAAAUAAAGAACUGACAACGAAAUUAGACCUAUCAUUAGUUUCUUGUGGUGUGAACUCUUGACAAUCCUCCCCUAUCCCACCUAAAGCUCUCGCGUGGUGUGAAUGUUUGACAAUUCUCCCAUAUCCCUCCAUAAUAUGUCAUAUUGCGAAAAGCAAUGUCAAUUGCAAUGCCGUUUCCCAUUAGUCAUAGUGAUAGAUAGGACCAGAAUUUUUUGAAACCCCCGAGGCCCUAAACUUGUUUUUCCUUUUGAAAAUAAGAAAAUGGCACCUGUCUAGAGAAAUAAUUUAUUAGAACCUUAUAUCAUGAAUAACGGCCAAUAAGACUUUUUUUAAAUUAUAAUAUUUUUAAAUUUAUUAACUAAAAAAAUUAACUCUAAUAAUUUAUGAUAAAUAUAAAUAGGAUAUUAAAAUAAAUAUAAUAAUAUAUAGAUAUUAAAAUAAUUUCAAUAUCUAAAAUAUUAAUAUUUUACAAUCUCGUAUUCUAUUAAACCAAAUUAUAAUAAAUAGAGACAUAAUAUUCAAAUAAAUAUAUAAAAAUUUAGGUUAUUUUCAAUGUCAUAUAAAAUAGUUUUAAUAUUAUUAAUACCUGAGAAAUAUUAUAUUAAUUGUAAAAUCUAUUUAACCUAAGGAUUUAGUUAAAAUUUUAAAAUAAUUACAAAUAUUUUAUAAGUACAAAUAAAUUAAUUUACAUUUUAAAAAUUAAUAUUGAAAUUAAUUAUUUAAAUUAUAUAUAUUAGUCUUCUGGAAAAUUUAAAUUAUUUAAAUCAUAUUUACAUUUCGUAAAAAAUUUUAAGUCAAUUUGUUUGAUUACCACCUGCUAAGGGUAUUGUAGUCAAGGGGAAUAUUGGUAUUCUUUAUUAAAAAUUUGGGAUCUACAUGAUUAUUUUUCUAAAUUUUAAUGGUGUCAUUUUAUUUUUGACAAAAAUAAAAUUUCAUUUAAACAACUAAAAUGAUGAAUAAUACAGUGCUACAGUGGCGCAAGUGGAAGGUAGGAAACAAUCAAAAUGAACAGUCUAACGUCACAGCAGGCAUAUAAGGCCAAAGUUUGUUACAUCCCAAUACAAAAAGUUUGAAACUUUGCACCUUCUGAAAUGAAACAAACUUACUUGGAUAUUGGUGAUCAGUGAGAAAAGCCCUUUUUCAAAAGCAACCUUAGGGUACCGAGUGUUACAGAUUCAAUGAACCACAAAUACUUAUUUACAUUGUAGUAUCUCAAAGGCACCGAUUUCUUCUGAUCCGUUAAGGAAAACAAGAAAAAUAAAAAGAAAAGAAAAAGGGUACUUGUGCCACACAACCUUGACGCCUAGCUACAUGGUACAUUCUCUUUGUGUGUUUGAACCAAUUAACAAUAAUGGUGCCUUUACUUCUUGGACUGGAGAAUCGAAAUCCGAAAUCGAAAUCAUUAAUGAUGUUUACUUCAUAAAAUGGAGGCUGGGAUCCGAAUCAGAACUAUGGGGACCACCCAAAUUAGGAGUGAGGAAUGGAAGAUUGAUUCCUAAGGAAGGUGGUGGGAAUCAAUCCCCCAUUCCCAAGAUUGAUCAUUUUGCCCCCUCUCACAAACUAUAAAAUAUCUAUUUUGUCCUCAAUUAAAAAAUUAUUAUGAUUAAUUAAUAUAUGUUUAUAAUUUAUUAAUAUAACUAUUCUAAUCAAUUUAUAUAUAUUUUAAAUAUAUUAUUAUUAAAUAAUUAAUAUAUUAUUAUAAUUAAUUAAUAUAUUUUGAAUUUUUAUUAUUAUCGUCAUCAUCAUCAUUAUUAUUGUUAUGAAUGAUAAAUUUUUUUACAAUUAAUUAGUAUAUUAAUAUAUUAUUGACAAUAAUUAAUAAUAAUAAUAAUUUUUGAAUAAAUAAAUAAAUAAAAUUAAUUACUGAAUUUGAACAUUUUACAAUUAUUCUAUUAUUUGGACUUAUCGAGAACUUACAUGCAGCGUAGCUAGUUUGCUAGCAUAUGUAAGGUUUAAUUUGAAUGCAUGCAGCAUUGAGAAGAGACAACGCAGAAACAAAAUUUCCGCUUGCAAUCUUUUCAUUUCCCUUUUUAAUAACAAGCAAAAUAGAGGAUAAACAGGGACUUUGUUUUAAUUCUCCUGUUUUUCUGUUUGGUGAUUUUAAAAUUUUAUGUCUAUAUUUAUCAAAAAAAGUUAUCCAAAAUUAUUAUCUAUUUUUGAUACACGUUGAUUUAUUAAAAAAAAAUUAAAAACUUCAUUUCUAAAUUUAUCGUUGUGCUUUGACCUUGGGGUGGUUUUUUUCUGUUUUUUUACGUAGGCCAGAACCUUAAUGAAGAAAGUUUUCAUCGUUAAUUGCUUUUGACCUAGGAGAAUUUAUUCUUGGACAAAUUAACACCUUUGUCUUUUGAUGCGGCUCCUAGAUAUCUAUGCAAUUUGUGUCAUUUACUUUUGCUUUGUAUUCUUUUUUAAAUGAGUCCCGAUUGGUUCAUUUGCAGAUAAAUGAGUCAGUUUUUCUGUUUUUAUUUUUUGAAAGACGGUUUUUCUGUUACGAAGCUUUUCAUGGAUGAAUAUUUUUUUUUUAAUUUUAUAGAUUCUCUGCGAGUUUUGUUAGGUAGAAGGGUAUUUAAGUAUUUUCAUUUCAUAUUUUGACAUUUCCUUGACCUUUGAAGUAUUGAAUCAUUGUGCAGGUAUUUAAGUAAAUCUGCCCACAAUGAAGAAUAGUUCAGAACAGUUGCGGAAGAUAAAUGGCUCAAAUAUAUGCGUUAUGAUCUUUUAAUAUUUCGCCUCUGAUAUUGUCCACAUUGCUUACUGCAAUAGAUAAAGCACUUCGUUUACCCCAAAUCCUGAUAGGGAAGUAUAAAUAUGUGCUUCCGAAAUAGUGCAACUCUCCAUAAUUAUUUAAUAUGCCUCUCAAUGAAGCAAUCACCUUCAUUUACAAUUCUUCGAUUAUUAAUCCUACAUACACGUGUUUCUUUUGUCUCUAAAAGUAUCCUCAAUUAAUUUACAUAAUUUAAUAUAAUAAGUACCUAAGACUAGACAAAUUAUCAUUAUAAUAGUAUUGACACAAUAAUGUCAAUAAUAAAUGCCUUAACAAACCUAUAAAUUUUAGAAUAUGGCUCAGAGUGCUACAAUGAACCACAACAAGUUAUUAUAUUGUCUAUAAUCAAUAUUCCAAUGGUAAUAGAGUUUUUUUAUUUUCAAUCCGCUGCUUUUCUGUUUAGCGAUUGCCAAAUUUUAUAUCUAAAAUUCUUCUAAUUUUAUAUCUAAAAUUCUUCUAAUUUUACACUAAGGUUUAUUUUUUCAAAAAAGGGGGGGGGGGGGGGGGGGGGGGGGGGCAGGAGAGAGAGACUUAGAGAGUAUUAAAAAAUGUAAUUCUAAAUUUUUACUUGAGUGUUGUGUGAUUUUGAUCAUUUUUUUAAAGUUGGCCAUUUAUAUUGAAUAAAUAAAAUAACGAAUAGACGUUUGGACCACUUCUUUUCUGUUAUAAUAAAACAUGAGAUGUCUUCUCUUGAUGUUUUCGUCACAAAAGAAUAUGUUUAAUUAUGUCAUCAUAGGCUUAAAUGGGAUGCCUUUUCUGUUAUAAGAUCGAGAACAAGUUUGUUUAAGCACUAGAGCCGCUAAAUAAAAGAAAGGCUCAUAUAAAAAUUACCUAAAGCACCAAAUAUUGUUAUUCAGCUACUUCUUUUAUGUUACAUUAGUUUCUACGCAAAUUUAUAUAAAUAAUUUAUAACUCCCAUCAUUAUUUAAAAAAUAAAAACCAUAGCAAUUGUGGUUAUAUCAUGUGGUGUGAUCUUUUGACAAUCCUCCCACAUCCCACCAAAAACUCUCACAUGGCGUGAACUUUUGACAAUUCUUCCAUAUCCCACCAAAAAUUUGUCAUGUUGCGAAAGGCAAUGUCAAUUGUAUUGUCAUUUCCAUUAGUUAUAGUGGCAGACAAUGUAGUCCCGGGAUAAGACUAGAAGUUUUUGAAACCCAUGGACUUAUUCUUACUUUAUUUUUUCUUUUGAAAAUGAGAAAAGGACACCCGUUUCGGGAAAUAAUUUUGUAGAAUCUCAUAUCGUGAAUAAGAGAUAAUAAGACUUUUCUUUUUUACUUUACUGCAAUACUCUUUAAUUUUAUUAAUUUUAUAUUUUAUAAUAAAUAUAAAUAUGAUACUAAAAUAAAUGUAAUGAUAUAUACAUAUUAAAAUAAUUGGAUAUUGAAAAAUAUUUUAAUAUUUUACAAUCCCGUAUAAUAUUAAACCAUAUUAUAAUAAAUAGACAUAAUAUUAAUAUAUAUAUAAGUUUAAAUUAUUUUGAAUAUCAUAUAAAAUAAUUUUAAUAUUAUUAAUAAAUCAGAAGUAUUACAUUAAUUGUAAAAUCUAUUUAAUCCAAGGAUUUAUUUAAAAUUUUUAUAAUAAAUUAAAAAUAUAUUGGUUAACAUUUUAACAAUUAAUAAUGAAAUUAAUUAUUUAAGUUAUAUAUAUUAGUCUACUAGAAAAAUUUAAACUACUUCAAUCAGAUUUACAUUUAAUGAAAAAAUUUGAAGUUAAUUUUCUUUUUAUCAUCUACUACGAAUCUUGUAGUUAAAAGAGGUAUUGACAUUCUUUAUUAAAAAUUUGAGGUCUACAUAACUAUUUUUUUUUUUAUUUUAAGGGUGUCAUUUUAUUUUUGACAAAAAUAAAAUUUCAUUUAAAUGGCUAAAAUGGUGAAUAAUACAAUGUUACAGCUGGCGUAAAUGGAAGGUAGGAAACAAUCAAAAUGACCAACAGUCUAAUGCCACAGCAAGGACAUGAGGUCAAAAAAUUCCCUUAUUAAUUAGUAAAAGAGAGUCACUUGGGCUUAUGGCGGGCAAAAUCGGAUAUAGAUCAGAUUCAAAUUAAUCCGAUAAAUUUGAUAUUGUUUGCAUUGAUAAAAAAAGUCACCCAAAUGCAAUCUAAACAUGUGUGUGUGUGUAUACAUAUUUGUUAUAAAUUAAAGUUACAAAAGUCUUUAACCAAGGCCAUUCAUAGUAAGUUUCAAAUUUUUAGGUUAAUAUCUGUAACUUCAUCAUGCUGGCCAUAAAUAAAGCUUGCAGGUCUAGGCGGGAUUGACUCGAGUUUUUUUGCCAAUCCUACGCAUGACGGGCGGUGUUAGGAAUAAUAUCCUGCAUCAAUUGAGUAUUGAACUUGGGUUCAGCAUAUAAGAUUUGGACAACUCUUAACUCUUGAGCUAACUUACUAAGUUUUGGAUUGAGUUAAGCAUGUAUGCUUCAAUAUCACAAAUUAGUCUUUCGUUACCAUUACUUAUUUUUUCUAUUGUUUAAUCCUAACACAAUAAAUGACCUUUCAUCCCAAAAGAACUAAAGUAAUCAUUUUAGACGAAUUAAGACACCAUAAAGUAAAUCUGCACACUAUGAAAAAUACUUUGGAACAGUUAAGGAAGCGUGAGAAUACUUGGGGAAAGCUUCAUAAUUGUUACGGCCGGAUCUACACUCUUUCCUCUAUAUGCAAUAAAUAUAUGCGUUAAUGAUCUCUCAAUAUUUUGCAUCCGAUAUUGCCCACAUCGCUUACCACAAUAUAUUCACUUUAUAAACAAAGUUUACAACCCAAAUACUAAUAGAGAAUAUAAAUAUGUACUUGUCAAUGAAGCAAUCACCUUUAUUUAGAAAUUUUUUAUUAUUAAUCCUACGUACACACACCUCUUUUGUCUCCAAAAAUAUUCUUAAUUAAUCCACACAAUUUAAUACAAUAAAUACCUAAGAUUACACAAAUUUUCAUUACAAUAGAAUAUAUAAUUUAUAAUAUUAUUGAUACAAUGAUGCCAAUAAUAAAAAUCCUAUAAACCUUACAAAUUUUAGAAAAUGGCUUAGAGUGUGACAGGUUGAAUGAACCACAACAAAUCAUUUACAUUAUAGUAUCUAUGAUCAAUAUUCUAAUGAUAAUAGGGCUCCUCCAUUUUCAUUUCCCUACAUUUUCUGUUUGGUGAUUGUCAAAUUUUAUGUCUAAAAUUUUUCUAAUUUUACAGUGAGGUUUAUUUUUUAAAGAGAGAGAGAGAGAGACUCAAAGAGAAUUAAAAAAAAUGUAAUUCUAAAAUUUUACUUGUGCAUUUUGUGAUUUUUACCAUUUUUUAAGUUGGCAAUUUGUAUUGAAUAAAUAAAAUAAUAAAUAGACUUAUGGACCACUUUUUUCUGUUAUAAUAAAAAUCAGAGGUCCUUUCUUGAUGUUUUCUUUCCAUAUGAAUAAAUUAGAAUUUUAUUGGUACAGUAAUGUCAAUAAUAAAAUUCCUAACAAACAUACAAAUUUUAGAAUAUGGAUUAAAGUGUUACAAGUUGAGUGGAUCACAACAAGUUAUUUAUAUUGUAGUGUCUAUGAUCAGUAUUUCAAUGAUAUCAAGGGUCCUCUAUUUUCUUUCCCUUGCAAUUUUUGUUUGGUCAUCGCCAAAGUUUAUAUCUAAAAUUUUUCUAAUUUUACACUGACAUUUAUUUUUUUUUUAAAAAAAAGAGAAAGAGAGACACGGAGAGAACUAAAAAAUGUAAAUCUAAAUUUUUGCUUGUGCGUUAUGUGAUUUUUAUCAUUUUUUAAGUUGGCCAUUUGUAUUGAAUAAAAAAAGUAAUAAAUAGACUUAUGGACCACUUGUUUUUUUAUUAUAAUAAAACAUUUUCUUCUCCUGAUGUUUUUCAUCUCACAGGAAUAUAUUUAUCUCAUCGUGGGCCCAAAUGGGGUAAAUAAAUUGGGAUCAAGGACAAGUCUGUUUAAGUGUUGAAAUUGCAAGAAGACCUCAUAAAAAAAAUUGCCUAAAGCCCCAUUAUUGUUAUUCAACUAUUACUUUCAUGACACUUACACAAAUAAUUUAUAACUCCAUCUUUAUUUAGGGAAAAAACUGUAGCAAUUGUUGUUAUAUCACAGGAACAAAUUCCAAUUAAAAAUAUAAUAAGAAUUAAUUGCAAAUUUUGUAAUAAAUAUCAAUAUAAUUUAAUAGUUUAAUUUUUUUUGGUAGAGUAAUAUAAUUUAAAAAAUUAAUAUUUAAAAAAAUAAUAUCAGUAUUACUUUUUAAAAUGCAAAUUAUUAAAAUUAUAUUAAUAAUGUAUUUUUAUUUAUUAUAAAAUUUAUUUUAAUAAAAUCUUAAAUUUUUUUAAAUAUUUGUAUAUAUUGUUAUAUGUUAUUAUAAUAUUAUAUUUAUAUUUAUUAAAAUAUAAGAGUUAAUAUUUUUAAAUUAAUAAAGACAAAAAGUAUUAUAAUAAAAAAGAAUUCUUUUAUUAAAAAUAUAAUCAUUCUCCCAAACUUAUCCUUGUCCCUUUUUGAAAGGAAAAAAUAAAUUAGAAAAGUCUAUGGUCAUGAUAACUUCUAGCCUUGUCCCGUGGGACAUGGCUACGGUGCAGAAGCUGAAAGUAACAGCUUCGAACUUUCCCAUUUCCAUCACCUUGUUGAUGGUUGUUGAAGCCAAUAAAAAUAAAUUCCUACUCUAAAUAAAUUGUGUAUAGUGAUUGAGCAGGGUCGUGUCCACAGAGAUCGGUAAUUAUUUAAAUUCUUUUGAAACGUAAAACGUAAAAUGGGAGAAUUGUUGACAAUAAUAAAAAAUCAAAUUAAAAUAACAAAAAUGCAAAUUAAAGUUGUAAUUCAAAUUGGAGAAAGCUUUGGUUGAAGGAAUUAACUCAGUUUGAUUCGACUACUGAUCAUUGAUUCAAAAAUAGAUUAUUAUUACUUAUGAAUAAACUGGUUAUAGCUAUUGAGACCCUCUAAUAGCCAAUCUCUCCUUAACUAGUCGAUAACCAAGGUACGACUAUUGGAUAUUUCCCUAAUCAAUAGACAACCCUAGAUACGAUCAUAGGAUUUAAUCAAUUGACAGCCUGAAAAACCAGAGCGACCCAAAUCCUAAUCAACACAUAUGAUGAUUCAUUUAAAUUAGAUUGUUUAUUCCCAUAACACAACUCACUGCUAUGUUAUUUGUCACAAACAUUAAACUCGUCAUACGAUGAAUUCUUUAAUUGACAAUAGAUUAAGUUGAUAAUUAAAUAGUGGCCAAUUACCUAAUUAACAAACAUAAUCAUGAAACUAAUUCAGAGAAUAAACAAAUACCCAAAAAGUAAUAAAACAAUUAAAGCAUAAGAAAGAUCUCACAGUAGUGAUGAAUCAAAAAUUCAUUAACCUUCAACUAGAAAAAAUAAGUUUAGUUUUUCAUAGAGAGAAGAGAAAAAUUAGAUCUAGGGUUUCUUUCUUUUUCUCCAAUUAAAAUCCCCCCUUUUUCACAAUAGAUUCCUCCCUUAAAUACUCUCUCUCUCUUCUCUUUUAAAGUUCUAUUUAAAAUAAAAUAAUAAUAUUUGAAAUAUUAAAUUCGUAAUUACAAAAAUAGCCAAAAAUACAAAACACAUUAAACUAAAAACUGCAGGUCCGCAGUUGACAGCACGCGCCCACGCCUUAUCUAUAAAGUUCUUCUGACGCUCUAAAUUUCUCCAAGAGAACAAUCAUCUUUAAACAUCAUCUUAUACCUCAAUUCUAUCACAAAUCAAUAGAAUUGCACUUACAAAAGUAAAACACAAGUAAAUCAUUAUUAUUAAAUGCAAAACAUCGAUAUUAAGGGAAGUAAACAAUGCAAAACUAGUGUAUAAAUUGUACUCUAACACUUGUAUUGGGACCUCUUUCUCUCUCCUAUAGCCCCCAUGGAAGUUCCCCAUUGGCUGCUGUUACUUACAGAAGCCGUAACAUAGACUUCUAGCCAUGUCCCGUGAUGUCCAUUGUCUGCCACUAUGAAUAAUGGCAAUGACAUUGCAAUUGAAACAUUGAAAAGGUAUUUUCGCAAUAUGACAAAGCUUUUGUUAGGAUAUGGGAGGAUUGUCAAAAGUUCACACCACUUGAAACUAGAAUUAGAUCUAAUUUCAUUUAUUUCAUAAAUUAGAAAAGUCUAUGGUCGUGAUAACUUCUAGCCGUGUCCCGUGAUGUCCAUUGUCUGCCACUAUGAAUAAUGGAAAUGACAUUACUAUAAUAAAAUGACAUUGCAAUUCCAAUAUGCAAUUGAAAAGUCUAUGGUCGUGAUAACUUUUGUAAUAUGACAAAGUUUUUGUUGGGGUAUGAGAGGAUUGUCAAAAGUUCACACACCACAUGAAACUAGUGUUAGAUCUAAUUUUAUUUCGUCCGUUCCUUAUAUAUUUAUUUCAUACAUAUAUGUCUUAGGGUGAUAUUGUUUUGUAAAGAUAUAAUAGUAAGGUACUAUAAAAAGAAAAGAACUGUGUGUAUACUUCCCAGUGUAAUAAUUAUAUGUAGAAGAAAACUAACAAGAGGAAAAAUGACAAAGAGCAAGGCGCUGGUUGUUGGGAGAAGAGGACAUGUCGGCAGAGGAUAGAGAAGCCAAUCUUAGCCUUGUUGAUUGAGGGCUCAUCUUCUGAUCAUCGUAGCCUUGUUGGAGCUGUCAAACAAGUCGAUGUUGUCAUUUAAGGAGCCACAACAUUUUGAUGCUGCUUAAACUUGUUGGGGCCAUCAAAUAAGCUGUAAAUAUUAAGGUACGUAAGCCUUAAUUUUUAUGUAAUUUUAAUUUCAGAUCCAAAAUUGCAUGCAAGCCAUUAAUUUCUUUCCUUUUUUAUUUUUGAUUUGAUGAGGUGCUUGAUUUGGUCGGGUGUGUAUUUUUUCUUUGUUCUUUUUUUUUUUAAAACAUAAAUCUCCAAAUCGGGUUGGAGCGGGGAUUCUAACCCUACGAUGGCCAUAUUAAAAUUUAAAAUUUUUUAAUUUAUUUUUCUACAUCUCAAUAUUUGAAAAAAUGAUUAUAUAGAUCUAUAUAUUUUCAAUAAGAGAUACUAAGAUACUCUUUUUUACUAUAACACCUACUAGCUCUAUUAACUCAAAAAAUUAGCUUCAAUGUUAAUAUAUAUAUUUUAAAAUAAUUUUAAUAUUUUAAAAAAAAUGAAAAAAAUAUUUUAAUACUUUACAAGCUUAUACUAUAUUAAACUAAAUUUUGUAAUAAAUAGAAACUUAAUAUAAAAUAAAUGUCUAAAAAUUUAAAUUAUUUUCAAUAGCAUAUAGAAUAAUUAUAAUAUUAUUAAUACCUAAGAUAUAUUAAAUUAAUUAUAAAUUCUAUUUAACACAAAUAUUUAACUAAAUUUUUUAUAAUAAAUAUAAAUAUAUUAUUAAAAUAAAUCUAAUAAUUAACAUUUUAAAAAAUAAUACUGAAAUUAAUUUUUUAAAUUAUACUAACACUAGUUUCACGCUGUGCGAACUUUUGACAAAAACUGUUAAUUGCAAUUUCUUUUGAAAACAAUAGAUCAAAUCAUUAAAGUGCAUGUGAUGAUUUGCUGUUUAAUUAUUUCUUUAGAAUAUAUCCAAACGUAAGGUUGUGAACUAGUGCUUUCUUCAACUUAAUUGGGUCCAACAAUACACUGCAGCUUCCUCUUUUGGUCAUUCCAAGUUUAAUUCUUCAUGAAAAUCUUAGACACUAAUACAAGGAUAUCGAAUCCAAAAUUAUAAUAAUACAUGUAAUUAUUCUAUACAUGCGUCAACAAGGCAACAGUAACCAAAUACAUGAUAUGCAAAGGGGGUGCAUGAUUAAGUCCUUUUUUUAUUCAAUUCAUUGUUAUUAUUCUCAUCAACUCUUUUCUCACUUAUUUUUCAGCAGUUACCAGUGAUCUUUUUGCUCUUUAAAAUUAUUCUUAAAUAUUCAAGGCUAAAUAGAGAAGCUCAUCAACUAUCUGAUCCCGGAUAAUUAAAGAGGUGAACUUGUUCUAAAUCCUUUGAUAAUUUCUAUUAAUAGCAUAAUCUCCUUGAUCUUGACCGCAGUUAUUUCUUAAUGUCCAAGAAAAAAAUAUCUCCUGUUUGUCUUAAUCUUGUCAUUUAAUUUUCUUGAUUUAAGUUACUGUUCAUUGUUAACUUCUGUGUUCUUGUUAUUAGCAUUUGUUAAUUUGCAUCUCUCCUCUAAAAUAGUUUCUAAAAAAGAAUGUUGCUUUUCAUUCAUACCCUUGAAACCUUUCAGUUAAUAGUCAAAACUCUAAUCUUUCAGUUAAUUUAUUUGAAUCCAAUUUUUUCAACAGCAAAUACACACACACAUUGUUAAGCAACAGCCAAAAAAGUGCAGAAAAACCAGUCAAAUUUAUACAUGCGUCAACAGGGAAACAGUAACCAAAUAGGUGAUACAAAAAGGGGUGAAUGAUUCUGUCUUUUCCUUUUGCAAGUCGCUGUUAUUACUCUCAUCAACUUCUUUCUCGCACAUUUCUCAGCAGUUACCAGUAAUAUUUAAAAUCGCUGUGUAGAUAUGCAAAAGUUCCGUAAGUGCAUUAAUAAUUAUUUGCCAGAAAAAAAUAGUUGCGUCAAUAUUAAAGGAAUUGACAUCCAGGGGACCCAAUUUAGUUGCUUAAUGAUUAUUUAAUUAAUUAAUUUAUAAUAUAUUAAUCUUUUAAGUUGAAUAAUUAAAAUCUUAGACCCGAAACAAUAAAUCAUCUGAGGCAUAUAAAAGAGAAAUUAUCAUCCUAUUUUUUCUUUUUUCUUUUUAACUUCUUGUAGCUUAUAAAAGAGAAAUUAUCAGUCAUUUACUCAAAGUUUAUUCAAUUAUUAAAAUUAUUAUAAAAAUUUAAAUUUAUUUAAUUUUACAUCCAAUGUAUGCAAUUUGUAUGAAACAUCUGUUAAAAAUAUAAAGUUAUUCGUUCAAAGUGACAAAAUAGAACCGAACACAAAAUUGUAGUGGUGAUUAUGUUUUAGGAGUAACUUUAUUUUUUUAGUAAACAGUUGAUACACAUUGUAAUAAUGGGUAUAAAAUUAAAUAUUUUUAAAUUUUUAUAACUUUUUGGAUAAUAAGAUAAUUCUUAGAUGGAUAAUUGAAAAUUUUUCUUUUCAAAAUAUUUUGAAAACAAUACCAAAUGUACCAAAACAUUGUUUACUUUCACUCUCUCUCUCUCUCUCUCUCUCUCUCUAUCUAUCUAUCUAUAUAUAUAUAUAUAUAUAUAUAUAUAUAUAUAUAUUAUUUCUUAACUCAUUCUUAUCCUUAUUCUUUCUAACAUAUCCACAAUCUGUCAAUGAAAUUUACUUUUAUAAAUUUGAAGAUUUUUUCAUGCAAUUUUAUACGAUGAUGAGUUCUCAUGUUUCUGUUAAAAAAUAAUUCGUAAAUAAUACAAAUGAAAAAAACAAAAAGUAGCAGGGCUGGCAAUACAAAACCAUAACUUUUUUUCUUUGAAUUUUGCAUAAACAAAGUCAAUAGUGAUUUGUCAGCACGAUCUUGAGAGCACGGCUUGGAGUCUCAAUAAUUAUUGACACUCAUAUUUGAAAACUUUCGAAAAGAUAAAAUCCAAUAUGAAAGGUGAAACGUUAUAAUCAUAGUAACUAGAAAAUGGAUUGAUUUACAAAUAUCAAUUUAAACAAUUUUCAUGUUGAUCGACAAUUUAAGUAGAUUGACAAAGAUUGAAGUAAUUACUGUUGGUGAUUGAUUGACUUUGUCCUUAUCCUUGCCUUCUUCUUAUCAAAAAUCGAGUGUCAAUUAAAUUGGGCCAGGGUUUCUGAUUGCAACUAAUGGACUUCAUAUACGCAUAAUGGUCCCUACGUACAUACGUACCAAUAUUUGAUUGAUAAAGGGGGUGCAUGCUUAAUGCUCAAGUCGUCUUCUUUUGGAAAUUCAUUGUUAUUACUCUCAUCAACUCGUUCCUCACAUUCCUCUUUAGUCAAAACCUGUAAUAUUUCUUCUAUAUUCAAGGUGAAUACAGCAGCUCAUCGACUCUGAUCCCAGACAGGUAAAGAGGUGCACUUGUUCUAAAACCUGUAAUAUUCUUUUAGUAGCAGAAUCUCUGAUACUUGAUCUUCAUAGCGGUUCUUUCUUAAUUUCCAUCAACUUUCCUAGGAAAAAAUUCUCUGGUUUUUCUUAAUCAUAUCAUUUACUUUUCUUAAGUCAUAUCAUUUAUUUUUAGUAGCAGAAUACUUGAUCUUGAUAGCCAUUCUUUCUUAAUUUCCAUCAACUUUCCUUAAAGGAUACCUUUCUGUUAAUAGCGAAACCUCUGAUCCUUAAGAUAGAAAAAGAAAUUCUCUACUUAUGUAUCAGUUGGUUCAAAAUCAAUAUCGCGAUGUUGUUUGCGGUCUUUUCUUUCUCUGUCUUUCCCUCUAGUUCAUUUUAAUUUAUUUGUAUUCCUUUCUUUGACAUUUUUAUUCAUUUUAUUCAUAUAUAUACAUAUAUUGUUAAGCAACAGGCAAUGGUUGCAGAAGUGGGUCUGGCUGCUUUUUCCAGCAUCGUAUCAGAAGAUGCAAAGUCACUGUUCAAACCGAUUAUACGGCAGAUCUCUUAUGUGUUCAAGUACCAGAGCUACAUAGAUGGCCUAAAAGAUCAAGUGAAACAGUUGGGAUAUAAAAGAGAAAGGGUGGAAAUACCCGUUCAUCAGGCUACUCAACAAGGAGAUGAGAUUUAUAAGGAUGUUGCAGACUGGCUUAAUAGCGUCAAGGAAUUCACUCAGGGAGCUGCGAAAUCCAUCACUGAUGAUGAAGAUAGAGCUAAGAAGUUCUGUUUCAAAGGAUUGUGCCCAAACUUGAUUUCUCGUUACAAGCUCAGUAGACAAGCAGCAAAGGCCGCAGAAGCUGCUGCUAGUCUCAUGGGAAAAUGUAACUUCUCUAAUGUUUCCUACCGUCCUGCUCCAAAGCGGGCAGAACAUAUGCAAGUGAAAGAUUUCGAGGCCUUUGAUUCAAGAAUGAAAGUAUUUGAAGAUGUUGUGGAGGCGUUGAAGGAUGAUAAGCUCAAGAUAAUUGGGGUCUACGGGAUGGGCGGCGUGGGUAAAACCACGCUAGUCAAGCAAGUUGCAAGGCAAGUUAUGGAAGAUAAGGUGUUCGACAAGGUCGUUAUGGCUGAGGUAACACAGACCCCAGAUCAUCAGGAAAUUCAAAAGAAACUUGCUUUUGACUUAGGCAUGAAAUUUGGCUCGGAUGAGAAUAAAUUCGAAAGAGCAGAUCGAUUACGUGAAAGAUUGAAGAACGAGAAGCAGGUCCUCGUUAUAUUGGAUAAUAUUUGGAAAAAACUCGAGUUCGAAAAAGUUGGAAUUCCUUGUGGGGAUGUUGAUGAGAAAGAUACAAAGGAUGAUCAGAGACGAUGCACAAUAAUAUUGACGUCUAGAAGUCGAGAUUUAUUGCGCAUUGAUAUGAAUUCUCAGAAAAAUUUCCCGAUCGAUGCUUUGCCACCAAAAGAAGCAUUGCAGUUAUUUGAAAAGAUAGUGGGUGAUUCAACUAAAAUAUCUGCUUUUCAAAGUAUAGCAAAUGAGAUCGUUGAAAGAUGCGGAGGUUUGCCUGUUGCACUGAGUACAGUUGCAAAUGCUCUGAAAACUAAGGAUAGUUACUUUUGGAAAGAUGCAUUGAAUCAGCUAAGAAGAUCGGAUGCUAGAGAAAUUCAUGGCAUGCAAGCAAAUGUGUACACCUCCAUAAAAUUGAGUUAUGACUUCUUGGAAAGUGAGGAGGCAAAAUCUCUGUUCCGUCUUUGUAGUCUAUACAGUGAAGGUAAUGUCAUACAAGUUUCUGACUUAUUGAGAUGUGGUGUGGGUUGGGGUUUGUUUGAAAAUGUUUACACAUUGGAAGAAGCAAGGAGUAGAGUGCAUCGGUUGAUCGACAACCUCAAAUCUUCAUGCUUAUUGUUGGACGGUGAUGCUGAAGAUGAAGUUAAAAUGCAUGACGUCAUUCAUGUUGUUGCCGUAUCAAUUGCCAGAGAGGAGCGCAUGUUUAAUGUUCCAAAUGUUGCUGACUUGGAGAAAAAGAUGGAAGAGACAAUACAGAAAGAUCCAAUUGCUAUUUCAUUACCUCAUAGAGAUAUUCAAGAGCUCCCUGAAAGGUUGCAAUGUCCCAAUCUCCAGUUAUUUUUGUUGUAUACGGAGGGUAAUGGCCCUAUGCAAGUUUCAGACCACUUUUUUGAAGGGAUGGAAGGACUCAAAGUUUUACAGUUUCCUGGAAUUGGCUCUUCUUCAUUACCUUCAUCACUUGGUCGCCUCAUUAACCUUCAAACAUUGUGUUUAGACUGGUGCGAACUAGCAGAUAUAGCGGCAAUUGGACAACUAAAGAAAUUAGAGAUUCUCAGCCUCGCAUAUUCCAAUAUCAACCAGCUACCAGUUGAAAUUGGACAAUUGACGCGGUUACAAUUGCUAGAUUUGAGCAAUUGUUGGUGGCUUGAGGUGAUAGCACCGAAUGUCAUAUCAAAAUUAUCUCAAUUAGAAGAAUUGUAUAUGGGUAACGGUUUUUCAGGGUGGGAGAAGGUUGAAGGAGGAAGUAAUGCCAGUCUUGUCGAAUUGGAGAGGUUGACAGAGCUAACUACUUUGGAGAUAGAAGUUCCGGAUGCCGAAAUUCUGCCGCCGGAUUUUGUCUCUGUGGAAUUGCAAAGAUAUAAGAUACGUAUAGGAGAUGGGCCCGAAGAUGAGUUUGACCCAUUGCUCGUCAAAUCUGAAGCAUCAAGAUUGAUGAUGCUCAAGGGGAUAAAAAAAGUUAGCAUUCUUCAGGAGAAUGAUGGGACAAAAAUGUUGCUGCAGAGAACUGAAGAUCUCUGGCUAGAAACAUUGGAGGG
rnacentral:lncRNA from 1 species